UUUUUUCUUUUUUUUUUUUCUGUUGCCUAUAUGCCUACAACAACUACUGCUCAGAUCCUUCCCAAGUUGACUAUCCUUUGCAUAUCCUUUUGGGUGUCGAAUUUGGUGCUUCAAUUCAAAAUGGUCCUUUUUAUCAUGAGCUGAAAGUUUUAUUUUCUUUCUUAGCUCUAAAGAAGUAUUUAACGUGAAUUUCUGCUUCGAUCUCCAAUCAGAAAUGCUUUUUUGGUAAAAAAAAAAAAAAAAAAAACUGUUAAAAUUUAUGUGUAAUGUAGCAAUCGAGUACUUUGGAUGCAUCCCUCUCUUUUGGGAUUUAAAGUCAAUUAUUUCAAAAUUAACUACCAAAUAUACUUCUACUUUGGGCUGCAAACGAAUCGAGCCGCUCGCGAGCCGCUCGAGUCAAGCUCGAGUCGAGCUCGACAUUAAUCGAGCUCGAGUCAAACUCGAGCUCGAACUCGAGUUCAGAAUAUUAAACUCGUUAGCUCGCGAGCCGGCUCGCGAGUUUGAGUAUAUAUAUAUAUAUUUUUUAUUUUUAUUUAAUAAUAAAAUUACUUAUAUUAUAUAUAUUUUUUUUUAUUUUUUAUUUUCAUAGUGAAAUUACGGAUAUAUCCUUAAUAUUUUAUUAUUUAUUCAGAAAAAAAAAUUAUUUUAUUUAUUUUUUUUAAAAAUAAAAUAAUUUUUUUUAUUUUUUUCGAGCUCGGCUCGACUUGAUUCGAGUCGAGCUCGAGCUCGAAAAUUGCCAGCUCGUCGAGCUCGAGCUCGAGCUCGAGCUUGAUAAAAUUUAGCCAAGGCUCGGCUCGAUUAGCUUAAAGCUCGACUCGGCUCGAUUCGUUUGCAGCCUACUUCUACUACACUAUGGUUUGAACCUAUUAAAAUAUAAAUGCAAAAAGAUGACAUUAUUGGGACGGGUACAAUGUGAUUUAAAAGUUAAAACUAUUCAAGCUAAAACAAGUUGGGGUUAUCUACAUAUUAGCUUUUAUCUUUUUUACUUUUUCAUACUUUUAAUUUUCAAUAACUUCGUUACGCUAUUUUAUUUUAUUAUUAUUAUUAUUUUUUGUCGACACAGGGGUGUCCGGAUCAAUCCUUACGAGACCCGACUAAUCCCCUGCGGUCCGGGUCCGACGCCUCAACCCGGUCCGAACACGUUAAAUGCGCGGAGGAAUCCAGCGGAGCGGAGACUCGAACUUGUGACCUCAAGAUUCACUGGUGAGAGGCACUGCCGCUGGACCAUUCACACGGGACCAUUACGCUAUUUUAUUACUUUAUAAAAUUCCAUCAAUUCAACCGGUGACUUACUAAACAUGUCAGGCCUCGUGUCCAGAUCAGGGGCCUCUCCAAAACUAAACAUGUAAAUCCAAUCUACAAAACAAUUAUUAAAUUGCAAUGAUUGAAAUGCACAAGAAAGAUAUGAUCUAAAAGAAUCAAAAUCCAAUGCUUACUGAUUUUCAGCUACAUAUCUUUAUGGGAAAAGACUCAGAGAGCUGGCGUCCGUACAUUUCUGGACCAAUCUUUCAUGGGACAGUAAGGACGGUCCCAUUUACAGAAUAAAGGGAUAAUUUUGGAAACCUCCCCUAGGGUUUUUUAUAGUCUCACUGCCUUCCCCUGAAAUUUUCACAAUAUGGGAAACCUCCCCAAAAACUAAUUAGCUAGUAACAAAUCAGCCCAAUUUAAAUACAAAAAUAAUAUAAAAUUGGUGUUACGAGAGAGAGAAAAUAAUUUAAUUUCAUAACUACCCUCAAGUUUUGCAUUAGAUAGUUAAUUUACUAAGAACAAAAUACAUCUAUUUUAACUUUAUCAAAUGUGAGACGAUGCAACUGUUACCGCGUUCAUAAAACGUAAACAAAAAUCAGCUUUUUAACUCUACAACAAAUUUAACAACUCAAAGUCAGCGACCAAAAUGUGACAUUUAAGAAAAUUCAAUGGCUAGAAAAGUAACUUCGCCAAAAUCAAAUCAAGACAACGUCGUUUAACUUGGGCCCUGCUUUCCCUAACCAAACGCUGUCGUUUUAGCACUGCAGCUUUUCAUCAACGAACCAGGCAAGACCUCGAACUGAUCACCUGAAUUUGCAGCGGCAAAAUUUAACAAAAGAAUGGUGUUGAAUCUGUAACUUCCCCACCGACUACUGAACUCUCCAUUUCAGUUUUCCCUCCCGAAAUCAAAACCCAGAAAGGAAUUUUCAGACCAUUCAAAUCCCGUACAACCGCUGCAAAUUGAGUGAUCAGAUUCCAUGUUAACGCCGCCGUUUUCGAGUCUCGGCGAAUCAUAACAGGGUCAGCGGCGGGUUAAUCAGCAGAUAGAUUCCUGGUAAACCCUUUUAUCUUUUGAAAGAAUUUGAUCCUGAUUGGCCGUUUUGCUGUUCUUAUCUCUCGCGUUUUUGUGAAACUUUUAGUGGGAUGUGUUUUUUCUGGUUUCACAUUUUAGUGUAAAACUAGGAGAUGGAUUAGGGUGCCCAAUUAUGCCCAGUUAAUUUCUAAUUAUUUUUGUAAUCUUGAUGGAUGUUAAAUGAUAAACUACAGAUUUAGGAUUGCAUGAUUGGAAUGUAUAUAAUUGAUCAAAAACUGUGUCAUAAAGAACAAAAGAGGUGAAAAUUGUAAUACAAUAUGCCUUUCAGAAAGGUAAGAAACCACAACUACAUAAUUAGUAUCUAUCCAACUGGCCAAUAGUCACAUUGUGCUGUAGUGUUCUCAGUAUCCUCAUCAGUAUUUAAAAACUAGUCUCAUAAAUGAAAUGCAAAGAUGCUAUUAUUAAAAAAAUAUCCAUUAACCAAAAAAAUGGAAAUUAGCUUCAUACAAUUCCACAUUAAAUGGAGCUAUUAAAAUUACUUAAAUCUUAAUCCAAAUGCUAGAAUAGCACUCCAAUCAUAAUACUGCAAGAUACAAUAAAAGGACUUCAUCAAUGUUCUUGCCACUUAUACUAUACAUGGGCAAUGGAGCUUGAGUGAAGAGGUGUAUCAUGCUUCACCUAAGAGGUCAUGCCAACUUCAGUCCUCUCUUUUGUCCCAAAUUCAGAAACUAACCAAUAACUAUAAAAAUGAUGAAAAAAGAUUAAUUCUAUAUCAUUUUGUCAAAAUUAACUAUUCUCGGCUUCUCAUAUUCUGCAUUCAAAAACAAGUACCUUAUUAAUUACAAAGUCGCAAUAAUUUAUGCAAGUCCUUAAAGAAGCAAAUAAAAUACAAUCAAGAUCAAAACUCCAUUACUUUUGAAGUUCCAGUAUCCGCGUUCUACAUGACUCAGGAAAAGGCUGCUAAAUUUUAAUUAAGGCAUAAAAAGGACACAUGAGCAACCAUCAUAGUUAAAUCAUACUCUUAACAGGCAGAAAAAUCACAUGGUAUUCUAGCGUGUAAAUCACAUAGAUAGACCAUAUCCUGUUUUAAGCCAAACUUUGACCAUUCCACCAUGCUGAAAAAUGCCAAAAAUAAUUGAUAGGGGUCACAAUUAUAUAGUACUCGGUAAGAAUUCAACUAAGUAGAUAAAAGAAAUCUCUGAUACGAAUCAAUAUACCACAAGUGAAUGAUAGGACAUUAAUUUACCUAAAACAAAACUUUCUCUUCUCUUUCUUAGGAAGCUCAUUGACAUCAUAUUCAACUUGUUUAGACAUAAUUCAUAAUCAAAAUAUGAGCCUUAGUAGCAAAAACCAUGACAGAGCGGCAAAAAUAAGAUCUAAUAUUCAGAGAACAAACAAAAAUAACUUCAAAACAGAUGAAGCCAACUUCAGUUAUAAAAUUUCUUAAUAUUCUUUUUGAAGAUGAGCCUUUUUCCUGACCUUUUUCAACUAAGAAAGUAAUCACUAAAUUUAAUGAUACGAAUACAAAACUUUAAAUAAGAAAUUAGCCCUAACAAAAGAAAAAUGAUAACCUGAAAGACAGCAGAGAAUAUUCUUAGCAUUUCCUCUGCUUUGUGGACCGAGAAGCUAUUUCUCUUUAAUCCUGAAAUGUUGAGAGAACAGUAGUGUGUUAGGAAAAAGAUCAGAUGACAGAUAGAUGGAUUUCGUGAUCUGAAAUCUAUUUCUGGUUUUUCUGGUUUCUCAAUUCUCUUUGCACUUGCAAAAUCACAAAAUUACAGAUCACAUGACUGUACUGGAAAAAAAAUGUGGUAGAUAGAAGUAAUACCUAGAGAAUUCUAAGAGCUAGAGGCUUUAACUUCCACUUGUUUUUCCUAUCAUUUUCCUGGGCCAAAGAACUAAAGCUAGAACAUCAAGGAAUUUGAUCUCAAUAAACGGAGAUUUUGAGUUGGUUAUCCUACAGAUUGCCUUUUGUGAGUCAAUAGUUGCACAUACACGUGCAUAGAACAAUCCAAAAGAACAAAAAAAGUCCCAUUAGAUCAGCUUUAAAGAGUUCACAAUUUAAAAAGGAAAAAAAUCUCUAAAAGAGAAAAACUCGACUUCUUUCUAGGAAUUCAAGUUAUAUGGUGGAGAUGAAGAUCUAGCCAAGGAAAAUGACUUCUAGAAUACUGAUAGUGAGUUUCACAUCAGAUAGUGAGGAUGAGAUACCAACCUUCAUCUUCCUUGCAUGAAGGAGAGGGAAAGGAUUUGAUGCUUUUUAGCCAAGGCAAUAUCAGGAAAAAAAUGGCAGAUAAACAGAAGAUAUCAGCCAUUACUACCUGAGGGAGGAAGAGAAGAGGGAGAUGAAAAAGAAGACAAUGAGGAAAUGGGAGAAGCUGAUAAUUGGGAGAUGAGGAAAAAAUCAGCAUCAAAAUUAGGUGGUCAAAGGAAAAUUGCAAAAGAAAUUAGCAUCUAGAAGAGAGUUGUCCAAUAUCAACAUUAGCAAGAAUACCAGGUAACUUCGUUAACAGACUUAUCGAGUCCACCAACCUUGACUUUUUACAUUUGACAUUGGUUUGCUGAUCAUGAUCAAUUGAGGCAAACAAUCAGACACCUCAUAUACUUUAAAACUCUACUACUUCAACUAGCAACAAAUAUUUUUAAGCCAAACAUCGAACAAAUUAACUAAUAGCAUGCUAAACAUCUUAGCAAAGUAUAUAUCACUUUGUAGGCAUAAAUCAAACAUGAUGUAGUAGAUGGCAUGCUAAACAUCUAUCCAAAGCAAACAUGACAUUCGAGGAUUAAAUCAAAUGUUAUUGAUCCAGAACAAAGCAAAAAGGCCCCAGGAUGGAAUUUCUCUCACUUAAGCUAUAAAAAGUCGUCCAGACAUUAUGAAAUAGCUUGCUGCAACAAGACAGAAAAUUAUAAAGUUAUGAGUAACUAACUAAAAGAAUUUACCAGCUGUUUGGUUGCUGCUGAGGAAUGGCAAUGAGAAUCACUAUGAAAGACCCCCUCAGUGGCAACGAGUUUCUGAAAAUUCUUUGUAAUGAAAUCUGGUGUUUGGAAGUGCCAUUGUGUAAUGGGAAUGAUAUAUUUUAAAAAUAAAAAAAAAAUCCGUUAAAUUUCUUCAAUUUCCUUUCCUUUUCUUCCUUGCUGUUCAUCUUCUUCCCAAUUCGCAGCCACCUCCCACCGCAACCUCUUUUCUUUAUUAUUUGUUCUUAUGUUGCUUGCUCUUUGAUUUUGAGACACUGCCAAACCACCUCCCUUGGCCACUUUAGUUUUGUUUCCUGCUUCCAUUUUGUAAAGACCCACUGCUAGCACAAUUCCAUUUUUUUUCUUUUGUAAUUCUUCUCCAUCUUUUGACAACUGCCAAACUGCGUGUCGCUGCCAAACGCUUUCAGUGCUACUGCAUUGGGAUGUAAACUGAAGAUAUAAUAUACAAGACAGUAAUCCUUAAUCAAUGGUGUGAGGGAAAGGGAGGGAACAAAGGUUGCAGAGAUGGAGUAGAAAGGGAAGGCAAGAGGCGGCAAUAUGGAGGGUGGUGGGAGAGAGGAAAGGAAGAGAGGUUACAGGGAUGGAGUAGAAGGGGAAGAGGAGAUGCAUUCUCCUUCUUUUUACUUUUUCUUCAACUUUAAUUUUGAUUAUUUUUAUUUUGUUCUAAAAGGUGGAGGAAUGAGAAGUGAAAGUGCCCAAAUUGGUAUUUGAAGACCUAAAAGUGGGUAAUCAAAAAAGUCAUAGUAGUCUACCAAGCACCAUCAGUGGGAGUGAUUACCCUCUUAUUCCCAUUGAGGGGUACAAAACCUCCCAACCAAACGGGUGGUUAGUAGAAACAGUCAAUCCACAUCCUUUUAUUCUAAGUUUCCCACCUAGAUAGAGUUGCUAAAAAUAUCAACUGGAGAAUUAAACUUUGAGAGCACAGGGAAAAAAAAGAUAAGACCAUUUCUAAUGAAAUUAUCAUAAUUUUCAAUGCAAAAGAGUGGAAACAUAAAAUAAUGGACCUCAAGGAUCAUCACUGGAUAGAGACCUUAGAACCUCCUCUUAUUCAUGACUUCACUGAAAUUUUAGGGAACAAUUCAACAUGCAGCACAAGUUUCUCUUUGAUAACCGUAUACUGUCAGGAAAACAAAAAAAAAAAAAAGAAGAAAGAAAUAGACAAGGUAACCAUAUAAUAGGCAAAAUUACAUAAUAAAAAAGAAUAACAAAAUACCUGAGAAAAAUAACAUAUCUUCAGUCAUUUAUCCUCCAUUUCUUGAAGACCUAAUAAUAGUGGUAAAGAGAUUAAACAAACAGCUGUUGAUAACAAAUCUCUCAAAGCAAAAACAGCUGCAGAACACAGAAAAUUUGAAACAUAAGCCAGUGCACAUACCCACAAGGCUCAAUGAAGAAAAUGUUCCAUCUUUUUUUCUUUCUUACUUUAUCUGACAUAUACCUUGAAUCAGAAAAUUUUGACCAAAUCAGAUUUGUUAGAAAGACUUUAAAAAACACUCCGAGGAAAAAAAACCUGAGGUUAACUCAUUUUUGGACCUAAAAAAUUGAAAAAAGAAACACAGAAGCCUAACAAGUCUUCACCUUGAGACAAGAAUCUCUACAAUUCUUCAUCCUUGAUGGUAGUCUUGAUCUCUCAACCUGUAGCAAAAGUAUGGAGCUUGUUAGAGAAUAAAAGAAAAUUUAAUCAAGGGGGAAAAAAGGAUACACAAUAUUAAAAUGGAGGAAGCAGUGGACUUGAGAGACAAACAAAAAAUAAAUAAGAGAGAGAUGGAGAGAAGAAUAUUGACUUAUGCUGAACACAAGAAAAGGGAAGAAGAGCAGAGGAAGAAUAUUGAUUGAUCGAGUAAAGGAAAAAGGGAAAAGAAGAGGAGAGGAGAACGUCUGGAGUGGGUAGAUCUCACAACGGAUCUUCUGUCCCACACCCUGUGCCACUCUCUGUCCCACUUUUUAUUAUAUUGCUAUUUCUCUUACAUAAAUAUCAUGUUUUAGUUCUUUUUUGUUUCUUUAAGAUCCAAUAACUAUUAACUAAAUAAUACAAAAAAUUUAACAAAAUCAAAAAGCAUAAAAAUGAGAUUUUUUAUGAAUUUUCUGCUGUAUUUUUAAUUUUCUAUUACAUAUUACUUUUUUGAAGCUGUUGUAUUUAUUUUUUAGUCAAUUGAUAGUUAUUGGAUCUUAAGGAAACAAAAAAGAACUAAAACAUGAAGUUUAUGUAGGAGAAAUAGCAAUAUAACAAAAAAUGGGACAGUGAGUGGUACAGGAUGUAGGACAGAAGAUCUGUUGCGGGUAGAUCUAGGGCAGUUCCUGGUUUCCAGUGAAGACCUUGAGCCCAACGCUGUCCCAAAUGGGAAAAAAACAUGUCACAUGCCGGACACGUGUGAGGAUGACCAAACUUGCCACCAAUCUCCUUUUGCCACGUCACUAAGAAGCCAAUCCCCUUGUGCCACAUGGGCGGCCGACCAUUCAUACAUGGUAGGGGAGAUGUUCAUGCUUAUACGAUAUGGUUGAUAAUGUAUUGGGCAAGUGUGUGCUAGCAUAGUUGACAAGAUGAUUAAAUUAGAGAAAUUCAUUAUGUAACUCAGGCAUUAUCUUGUUGAAACCAUGUUUAAUGACUAGGUUGUCAUAUGAGCUGUUUUUUUUAUUUUUCUUUUUUUGGAUUUUCCAUUCCAUAUUGUUUACAUGUAUAGUAGGUGAUAGACGAACUAAUCUACUCGAUACUUGUGCAGUAUUGCUCAAGAGGUGGUGUUCAGUUGUCAUUGGUUCGUCAACUAAUGCAACCAUAAUUUUCUAUUUAAUUAUGUUUUCAAAAUUAGUUGAGCCCGGCUGCAUAAGCAUGAAACUUGAAAUUUACAUGUGUAUAAACCAAGCUAUUCAACAUCAGUUUGAGCAUGGCUUAGUAAUACUGGGUUGUUUUAGCUCAGCUCAAGUUAAGAUCAAAGCAAGAUCUUUUCAAAGAAAAAAAAUCAUACCAAGCUUGAAAAUUGUAUUGUUUGACUAGAUUAGGUUUGUUGAAACCCCUAGUUGAAAUGUAUGUUCUUUAGUAGAUUAGUUUUUUUUUUUGGAAUACAAUCAGUUAUAAGCAUGUUCAGUACCAUGAAUUUGUUGUUCUAUUUAUUUCUUUUCAGUGUUUUUCUUUGUGUGAAUGCAGAAAUGGGAGACAAAGAAGACCAGCUUGAUAUGACGCAAAAGGGUUUCAUACCCUAUUAUGGACAAUUGUUUGAUUCAGACGACAAAGCUUACAAAUUCUACAACAUGUAUGCAGCAACCAUUGGAUUUGGUGUUCGAAAAGAAUAUUGUAACAAAGAUAAAUUGGGAAUAGUAACUUCAAGGAAGUUUGCAUGUAAUAAAGAAGGAUUCCGGCGUCAGGAUAAAAGGGAUAGGGAAACAAAGAGACCUCGUGCAGAAACUAAGACAGGAUGUCUUGCUUGUGUCAUUAUACUACUUGACAGGGACACAAAAAAGUAUAAGGUGACACAAUUUGUGGCAGAGCACAAUCAUCCAUUGCAUAUUCCACAAUGCGUACACUUGAUCCCCUCACAGAGAAGGACAACAAUUACACAGGAUAAUUCUGAAUUGGUUGAUGCAUAUGGGUUAUCAUUGAAGCAGUCCAAUAACCUUGUAGAUAAGUUGGGGUAUCUUCCAAACAAGCGCUCUAGAGGCUUAAGGUUUGGGGAAGCUGGAACCAUUUUCAGAUAUUUUCAACAGCAACUUCUGGAAAACCCAUCAUUUUACUUUGCUGUACAAUUGGAUAGUGAGGAACAAUUAACUAAUGUCUUUUGGGCUGAUGCAAGGAUGACUAUAGACUACAAAUAUUUUGGAGAGGUGGUUACUUUUGAUACGACAUUUAGAAAAAACGAGGAAUAUCGUCCCUUGGGCAUUUUUCUGGGAUUUAAUCAUCACCGCCAGAUGGUAAUAUUUGGUGCUGCACUAUUAUAUGAUGACAGUGUUGACUCCUACAAAUGGUUGUUCCAAACCUUUCUAGAAGCCAUGUCUGGUAAGCCACCGAGAACAUUCUUCACGGAUCAAGAACCAGCCAUGGCAAAAGCUUCAGCUUCAGUGAUGCCAAACACCUUCCAUGGGUUGUGCACGCAUCAUAUUCGUCAAAAUUUCCUGAAACACCUUGGCCACAUGAUGAGGACUGAAACGGGUCUGGUACAAUUGUUUAGCAAGUGUAUGCUUGAAAUUGAAGAUGAAGUAGCAUUUGAGGAAACUUGGAGAGAGAUGCUUCAGAAACAUAACCUGGAUUCUAAUACAUGGCUUAAGAGUAUUUAUGAGCUGAGAGAAAAAUGGGCAAAGACAUACAUGAAGACAAAGCUCACAUUAGGCAUGCGAAGCAAGCAACUCAGCAAAAGCUUCAAUGCAGACCUCAAGCAUCAUUUAAAGACCGAUCAAGAUUUGGUGGAAUUCUUUACCGAGUUUCAUAGGGCUGUUGAGAAAAGAAGAUACAAAGAAUUGACUGCUGAAUAUGGGGCAAGGCAAAAGGUACCAAGUUUGAAGAUAAAGUACUCACCCAUGCUUAAUCAGGUUGCAGAGAUAUAUACUCCUACUAUAUUUGAGGAGUUCCAAGAUGAGUUUGACGUAUCUCUUGCCUUGGUAGUGAAGGGUCAUACAGUAAAUGAUAAUGUGCAUGAGUAUAUGUUGGCACGCUAUGAUGGAGGAGAUGAUCAGAGAGUCAUUUGUGAGAAAUCUACUCAAUCAGUCUUGUGUAGUUGUCAGAAGUAUGAAUGUGAAGGAAUUUUGUGCUCCCAUGCAAUCAAAGUACUAGAUUUACUUAACAUAAAGUUAGUGCCUAAUGAUUUAAUAGAAAAGAGAUGGACAAGAGAUGCAAAAAAAGGAAUUUUGAAAGGACCUAACCAGGAGAAUGAUAUGGAGGAGGAUGUCCAUUUGAAAGUUGUAGGGCGGUAUAGAAUGCUGUGUUCAACUUUAGUUAGGGUUGCUAUUAGGGCUGCAGAAUGUCAAGAAGCUACAGACUACCUUGUGCAAUGUGUGGAUAAGUUGACAAGAAAAGUUGAAGAAAUAUGUAAUAAGCAGAUGUCAAUUGAACAAGCUAGCACAAAUCACCAGUCAUCUUAUAAUGCAACAGACCAAGAAGAUGUUUUGGUAAUUUCCAUGGGUGUAAACCCAUCAGGCUCAAAAAGUGGACAGGGCUGCAAGUCCAAUAAACGGACAGGAAGCUGGACUGACAUGUUCGGUGAAAAGAGUAUGUAUGAGUCAAAUAACAACCAAGUUCAGGUAGUUGUAACUAGUACCUAUUAUCUUUUCAAGUUUGUUUAGUGGUAGACUUCAUGUGCAGCAUUUGAGAUUGAUCACACUUCCUUUUUUGAUAGAUUGCUGAUCAAAGCCAAGAAGUUUCAGUUGACCAUGUGUCUUCUCCUCAAUCAGCUAAUAACUCUGUUUCAGUAAGUGAUAUAGAAAAUACUUUUAUUAAAUGAACAACAUUUCCUUCAUGGUUGUUAGCUAAAUAAGAACUGUUGGUUCUGUUAUGUGAUGCUCAGGCUAGGUCUUGCUCCCAAUCUACUGGUGACCUUUUGCAUUUACAUCAAGCUACUUCGUAUCCGUCCCAGGUAAACACUGAUCAUUGAGCAAUUAAAUUGGCAGUUUACCACUCUCUCAAAUUACGCCUGCUCUAUAAUGCAAAAAAUUGCUUCUAAAUGUCUGAGAAUGGUAGGUUGGUGCUGAAAAACUGGAGGCACUUUUGCCCAUACUAAUACUUUUUGAAUGAUUCAGGAUAGCAAUAGCAAUUCCCUAAUUGGUCAAUCUUCUGUGGAAGUGGUCCAACGUGCGAACAAUGUAUGUUUGUUUAUAUAAUAAGGAUUUGUAUUUUUGGAGACACUAUAUGGCACCAAAUUUUGUGAUGAUAUCUGUGACAUUGUUAACGGGUCUGUUUUGUGCCACAUAAGGGUGCUGUAUUGGAAAAUAGGAACUUCUUAAUGAACUUCAAUGGGCUUGGUACUGCAAUGUCUCCCACUGGAACUCAGUUUCUGAUGGUAAAGCAAUCCAUAUUCUAUUAUCACCAUACGUAUCUGCAGAGUUUGUACUUGUGUGAUUAAUUUUUAAUUCCUUUUAUAUUGGGGUGCUUUUGCUGGUGCACAGCCACAUUGGGCUGCUAAUCAGAGCUGAGAAAUCAACUAUCAGUUGUCAUCAACAUACCUGCUUGUGAGGGGUUUGCAAGAUAAUCUAUUUUAUGUAAAGUUCCUAGGUUAUAUGAUGUAUUUUUGUGGCUAAUGCAAAUUGUAAUGGAGUACUAAGCUCUUCUUUAUGGAAUAUAAUAUCUUUUUGAAGCUUUUGACUUUGUUGGCUGGUGUUUGUUUUACAAGGUUUAGAACUGUAUUGAUAUAUGAUAAUGUCUACCUCAGGACAAAAUAUUUGUUGAGGCGAUUAGGUGUUGUAGUUGUAACAAGAAAGUACAAGGGUAUAAAUGAAAAAUGUCAAUUGAGCAUAUGAUCGGAAGUAACUUGUUACACACCUAAGCUGAUUACUAGAUUUGAUUGAUCUUCCUUCCUUACCAUAUGAUUACCCUACUAGUAGUGUUACUUUUGUGCAAUUACCCAAAUACAGAUUUUCCUUUCUUUGUUCUCGUGCUAUUUCACAGUGAAUAAAUUGGUAAAGAAUAUCUCAGCAAAUGAGUACAGCUGUCAUUUGGACUGUAAAAAAAGUCUAUUUUGUUGCAAUUCCACUGACUAUGAUUGCUUCCUGUCAGUCAUUUACGCUUCAUUUGCUGUCUCACAUGCUGCUGCAUUUUAACCCUUGGGUUAAAGUGAUUAAGCCUAACCACUCUGGCAAUAAAAUACACGUAGUAGACUCUGUACAGUUUCAUAUAAGAUAUAAAUGUAUGCCAUGCCGAUAACUUGAUGUAACAUGCAGCACUCCUUUUGAUAUUUUCUGCUCGUUUCCUGUAUCUUAAGAGGGGUCUUUUUACGUAUAAAUAGUUCUUAGGGAUUCCUAUUGGCUGCAUGAUUCCACGUGUUAUCAAUUUCUUUUACCUGGGCUUUUGGAGUAAUAAUUGAUUUCUGAUUUUGAAGUUAAGUCUCACAAGAUGAUAUGAGAAUUUCACAGCCAAAUCCGCUAAAAAUGAUUUCUCAAAUAGAGCUGUUCUUGAUACCCCCUUAACUUUUGGUGGUAAAGCCCUAGAACAUGUCUCAUUUCAUCAUCAGCAACGUUGAAGAAGGCAGCAACUCCUUGUCUUUUCUGAACAUCAAUCACUAGUAAGUUUAAGUUUUUGAGUUUAUAACUGUUUAUUGACCACUUGAUUUUCAAAGGGAAUGCUAAUGUUUAAUUGUAUUUUUUCAGUUUAUGAAUUUUGUUCAGAAUGUUGUUAUUGUUAAAACUAUUCUUUUGUAUGGUGAAGUUGCUUCAUUGAACUUAAUUUUGUAUAGAUUUGGUGAAAAUGUAUGAACUUAUUCUACACACAGGAUUUCCUGGAGAAUUGAAUGUAAUAAUAUUUACGUGAUCAUAAGGUUUCUGACCUUUUUUGUUCUUUCUUGGUCUUCUGCUACUGUUUUAUCUUGGAGAGGUGAAGUAGAGUUGCUUGUGGGAUUCUCUUAGAUAAGCUUGGUGUGACGAUAGAGUUGGAUCCAACAAUUUUCAUGCCAUUUGUGAUGGACAAUGUGAUUACUGAUAAGUCCCAUUCUUUUUUGCCCAAGCUAGCUUCUUGCCCUUUUGUUCAUUAAUGCUGACAUUUGGAAGAGCUCCUCAAAAGGGGAGUUAGCAUUAUUGCUCAACAUGAGAAACUUGUUUGUGUGCAUUGUCUUUGUGGUCAGUUCAGUACUCUUGUAACUUUCUACAUUUUUGACAGAAUUGUUUGAAGCUCAUUGUUGAAUAGCUAAACUAUAGUUAGAAAGUUUAUUUGACUUGAAUGUACAAAAUUUGAACUUAAUUCUUGAAACUCUUGUUAUGGAUUAAAGGCAAUACAGAGCUAUACACCCCGAGUGCUGAAAAUCCACAAUUUGAGAAGUUUCGCAUGUUGUGAUUUUCGCUGAAUUUUCCCAUAAAUUUAUUUUAUUUUAUUUUAAGAAUCAAAAUAUUGCCUCAUUCUUCUGCUGGAAAAUUUGUGAAAUAUGUAGAAAGGAUAGACCUUGCGAAUCUUUUGCAAAGAUGAGGUGAUAAUUGUUUUUCCCACCUGAUUGUACUGUUAGGAAGGAAAGGUUUAUUCUAACGUGGUUUAUUGUUGAGUUUGUAACUUUUCGAUCUUUAGCUUUGUCCUGGGCAUGUUUUUUCACGCUCAGUUGUUGGGAACAACUUCAUAUUAAUUCAGAUGCCUAUUCUAAUGCUCUCAUUGUUGCUACUCUUGUUUCACUUACCUUCGUACUAGGUAUCUCCAAGUGGGUUCUUGGAGCAGCAUUCUCUCUUUUCUUCUACAAGGUUUUCCUUGAUGUUCAUGCUUGAGUUUGAGUAUGGUCUAAUAUUUCCAUGUGCUGAUGACUAACUUUUUCAUGAAUUUGUUGCCCUAUAUUCAUCCAUAAAUGAGGAGCAAAGAGCUUGUGAAUCCUUAAAUCUUGGACAAAGAAAUGCCACCUGCUGUUUUUGGGAAGAAUCUUUCAAGUUUUGCUGGCACUGUUCUUGUGAGGUAAAGAUUGUUGGGAGUUUGCUGACAUGUAAAGAAUAUGAGAUACAUUUGCUUUUGACACCUUAGAUUUUGGCUUCGUCUUGAUGUCUCCAAUAUUUAGAACGAAAACGUAUAACAACAUUUGUGGUAAAUUGGAGACUUUUCGCUGGCUAUAUCCUUUUGGAUUUGGUGUAAUUAGUUUUCUUCUGAGUUGCACAUUCAAUUCCCCAAAAAAAAAAGAAUUGUCUCCAUCUCUGUACCUUCAAGUAGAGAUGUCAAAAUGGGUGACUUGAGCGGGUUUGGGUUGGGUAAAAUGGGUAAUGGGUAUAAGUGAGUCAACUCAUUUAUACCCAUUUAAUUAGAUGGGUAUAAAUGGGUAAGUCAAAAAAUGAAUUAGGUAACCCAAUUACCCAUUUAUAACUCAUUUAUUUUAACUUUUUACAAACUCAUUUAAAUUCAUUUUUGCAAACUAAGUUAUCAAUUUAUACCACUCUUUGUACCCAUCAUUAGUUUUAAAUAUUUACUUAUAAUGUUCAAUAAAUUUAAUUACCAAUUUUUUUCAUUUAUACUCUAUGUCACAAAAUUACCUAUUAUUUAAUAAUUGAAUAAUACGAAUAUAAAAAUUUGAAUUAAGUACUAUAAAAAUUAAUAUAAAACUUAAUCCAAAAAUUUUGUACCUCUAACAUUUUUUCAUAUAUAAAUUUAAAAUUUCAUUUUAUAAAGAUAAGAAAAUAGGCUAAAAUUUAUCAUAAAUUGGUAAUGCUAAAAAAUGAGCAAGUUAACAAACUAAGAAAAAAUAAAAUAAUAAGAUAAAACCAACAAAUAAUAAUAAUAAUAAUAAUAAUAAUGUUAACAUCAUGACAAAAUGAAAAAUUUGAAAAAAAAAAAAAAGGUAGGGGAAAAGAAGAGACUUGGGGGGAAGAGAAUUUUAAAUGGGUUAAUUGGGUUUGAUGGGUUACCCAAUAAUACCCAUUUAAUAAAUUGGUAUUAUUGGGUAACCCAUUUAUAUCUAUAUACAAAAAUUUAAGAUAUUUAUACCCAUCUAUUCAUAGACGAGUAUGGAUAAAUCUAAUUAAGUGGGUUGAUUUGCCACCUCUACCUUCAAGAAUGACAUUUCUCAUCAAAAAGACGAGUGAGGUGGCAAGGAACGGGCACUUUGUUUCAGGUAAUAAUUGAACUAUUUUCCCCAUUACUUUAGCAUAAAUUAGAACAAAAAGACUAACAAUCUCCUAUAAAAUGUGCAUCUCCUGCGGCUGGUAGCUGGUUGGUGGCAUCUUCCAAUUGGCUCAGCAGGUCUUCCCGGAAAAAGUAGAUCCCAAUUCCCAACUGCCUAAGGACACUACAAUUACCUCAUGGGUGACAUCAAAGUGUAUCAUGUUCUGUUAAGAUUAUCCACAAUCGAAUGUAAUUCACAUGGUAUGGUAUGCCAGUAUUUCACUUUCUCUUCUUUUAUUAUAUUUCCACUCACAAUGGAUUAGACUCUAUAAGGUGUAAUAGUAUGGGUUCACAAUUAAAUCAAAUAUUUAUUUUAAUAAUACAUAAUUCAUAUCUCAUAAAUAAAUAAAAUAAUUUUUUAAAAAUAAUUUUGUUAUUUUUAAAAAAUAAAUUAUUAACUUUCAAAAAAAAUUUUACCUUUUGGAUUUUUUAUUCUCUAAAAAUAACAUUAUUAAUUUCUAAGUUUGAACAAUAUAUCUUUUUCUACCUCUCAAAAAUAAUAUAUUGUUAUUUUUUGAAAAAUAAUUAUGCAAUUAUUAAACAAAUAUGUGAUACCUCAAAUGUGAAGAUAUCAUAAUAAUCCAUACUUAAUUAAUAAUUCUUUAUAUAAUUAAUUGAACUCCAUAACAUAAUAUUACAUAAUUUAAAUCAAAUAAAAUACAAAUAAUAACAAAAUGAAUACUAGUUUUCACUGUUAUUGCCUUUGAAUCGUUCCCAAAUAUGCUCGACCAAGUCUGAUCGAAAUUUUGUCUGUUGUAGCUUCAAAAAAUUAGUCCGUUGCAACUUCAAAAAAAUUGGUCUGUUGUUAACAUUAGCAUUACACGGUUACAAUAAACUUGUGUCACGACAUGCAUUACACCACGCAUCAUUACCCUCGGAAUGAUGAUAUGUGUAAUUGCAUUACACAGCCAUUACACGCGUCAUUACCCGCGUCAUUACACGCUAUGUGUCAUAGCAUGCAUUACACGCGUCAUUACCCUCCCCUCCGUUGCUAAUUAAUAAAGGUCUUCACAUCAAUGAAGGUUCCGCGAAUUUGAUCUUACGUGUCUGGUCAACUUCCUUGUUUCCCAAGCACCUGGAAGUCCAAUGCAAUUUGGCCUUUUCUUUCAUGCCUUUUUGGAUCCAGGUUAACAUGAAAUCAAGAUUUGGUUGCAGACAUAUAAAUUGCAGUCCGAUCUCACCACUCAUUUAAUACGAGGCAAAAGAGAGAGUUAAAACACUCCGAAGAUAAAAUCAAGAACUCUGCAGGUACCAAGAAUCAGAGGAUUCAGUCAGCUUGAUAGAAAGAGAUGGCAGAUUUGUUCUUGAAUCAGGCUAAGCAGUACUCCGCCAGCAGGCCAAGAUACCCAGAUCAACUUUUUGAAUUCAUUGCAUCCAAAACCCCUUCCCAUGACCUUGUGUGGGAUGUGGGCACUGGCAGUGGCCAGGCUGCUGCUGCUGUAAGUCCCUCAACUUCUCUCUCCCUUCCAUUGGAAUGUUGACUAUGGAUGGUGUGCUUUACUGUUUGCUAGUUCGCACGUUGCAGGUCAGCUGGCGCAGACAUCUUUUAUUUUAUUCCUUUUUGAAUCUCUUUGAAUACGAUUUGGACUCAAAGGAAUGUAUAACAGAUUGAAGGCAUCUCAAGGGGAUAAAUUAACUUAAAAGACUUGUGAUUAUGCAAUUAUGAUUUGCUUGUCUCACAUUUUACAAUAAACAGUAUUAGCAGUAAUUGUUUUUUGUUACUGUCGGAUUUGGUGAUAACAUUUGAAUAAGCAUUGGUGACUUGGUCCUUGUUCCAAUAGUCCAACCCUACAAUUCAGGUCAAAUUGGCUAAUAAUAGUCCAAUUUACUUCUUUGCUUGUUUACUGGCUUGGUUAGCUGUUUGUUUAAGGUGACCAACUUACUUUUAAGUAGUAAAUUUUUGAAGCUGCACAAUAUUUACCAAGCAAUACCUUGGAGCUGAAUAUGGUUUAUCAGAAAGGGAUUGGACAAACUGAAUUGUAUUACUAACAUCGAAUGCCUGCCUAAAUUCAACUGGCAAGAUUGUCUUAUCAUCUUAUCCAUGCAAUUCAUUCUUGUCAGCUGGCAAAGAUCUACAAGAAUGUAAUUGCCACAGACACAAGCCCAAAGCAGCUGGAAUUUGCACCAAAGGUUCCGAAUAUUCGAUACCAAUGUACUUCCCCAAAGUUGUCCAUUGCAGAGCUUGAAGAAAACAUUGCAGCAGAGUCCACUGUCGAUUUAGUCACCAUUGCUCAGGCUUUGCAUUGGUUUGAUUUUCCUACCUUCUACCAACAAGUGAAGUGGGCACUGAAAAAACCCAAUGGAGUAAUUGCUGCAUGGUGCUACACUGUGCCAGAAAUUAACCCCAGUUUGGAUGCUGUCUUCCAAAGAUUCUACAAAGUUGAUUCUGAUCCUUACUGGGAACCAGAGCGUAAAUUGGUGGAUAAUAAAUAUGAAACCAUCGAUUUCCCAUUUGAGCCUGUGGAUGGCGUUGAUCAUACCGGACCAUUCCAAUUCAAAGCAGAGAAUGUGAUGGAUUUGGAAGGCUUCUUCACAUACAUAAGAUCAUGGUCUUCCUACCAAACUGCUAAACAGAAGGGUGUGGAACUCUUGAAUGAAAAUGUGGUCAAGGAUUUUACCUCUGCUUGGAAUGAAGAUGGAAUAUCUAAAAAAGUUGUCACUUCCCCUAUUCAUCUGAGGAUUGGGAAAGUUGGGAAUUUGCAUUGAAAUCUCUGCCUGUUCAAGUCAGCAAGCCCCUUAUGGCAAUCAUUUUCCACUGGUUGGUCUAUUAUUCUUGGAUAUAGGCCAUGGACCAUGGUUGAUGGCUCAAAGAUAAAUAAAUUUGCGUAUUUCAGCAUUGAAUCUCCUGUCACUUGAAACUGUUAUCUAAUUGUUACUAUUAGGUGAUGGCUAACAUCGGAUUUGGGGCUUCUUGUUCCCGUUUCUAAUGUCUUAUAGUAUUAUGUUUCCAAGUUGAGUGGAAGGCUAGAAAUGCUACCUACAGUCAGCCAAAAAAAAAAAUUUUUUUUUUAAAUGAUGUGGCAAAAACUAGAUUUAAGCUACCUAAACGUUAAAUGUGAUUCCAUUUUUCCUUUAAAGGCAAAUCUCGUUCACGGGUGGGAUGCCAAUCUAUAUUUUAUUAGUAAUAAAAUUAAUUAGUACAAGAAGGUGGGUUUAGGCAUUACCGUUAGCAGUACAUGAUAAGAAAAAAAAGAAUAUCAUAAGACACGAAUAUCAAAAGGAAGUGCUACUUCCAUAGUGCAAGAGGAAAUGUGAUUCCAUACAAAUUAAAACAGAAUGUAAUUAGCACAAAAUAAUAUUAUAAAAUUUGUAAAGUGUUAUUUGCAUAAUCUUGGGGACCAAUAGAAAGUGUAUCGACAAGUUUUUCCUUUUUUGAUCAGUCCUAGUUUGCAAAAAUUUAUUUGAUUAUAUCAUAAAUAUUUCAUCAACCAUUUAUUUAUAUUUUAAAUCACCUUUGUUAUCUCAUAUAUAUCAUAUUAAGACAGAAUGCAAUAUUAUUUUUUCAAAGAAUUAUCUCAAAUACUCAGUUUGAGCUCAACAAGUUUGGAUUCUCCAUUUUUUGAAAAACAAGCUUUUCAUUUACAAUAUUUCAAAAUAAUAUAUAAACAAAAACAAUUUCAAAAAUACCACAUCUAUACAAUAUACCAAAAAUAAUUCCAAAUAUACAAAAAAAAAAGAAAAAAAAAUCUACAUCAUCUUCUUCUUCCAACUAUCACCACUAUUGACCGCCACCACCAUCCUCUCCUUCCCUCUCUAUUCCCGCUCCCUCUUUCUCCUCCCCUUUCCCAUCACAUCCACCUCUCCCCCCCUCCGCCCCCCCCCCCCAAAAUCUUAUUGCGACUAGGUUCUGACCAGAGGCCUCCAUUUGGUCGAGACCAGAUCGAGGAGGGGGAGAGGAAGUGAUAGGUGCCGAACCUGUGUAAUAAUAAUAUUAAAACCUAACUAUCACUAAAAGCAGUGAAUAAUCAAUUCUAGGUACUGGAACAGGGACUCUAGGUGUGCAAUGAGUUACUUGAUUCACCCUAUUCCUGAAGAGUUUGCUUAAUCCGAUAUACCAGAAUUAAUUAGUUGACAAAAUUUAUUAACUAGUAGACAGUGGCAGGCAGGGUCAUCUCCUCAGGGAUUGGGGUAUUUGUCUCUUUGCGGUUCCAAUUGGUAAACGGGGGGUUUAUCGGAAUAAAGCUAAAAAAUAAUUAAGCAAUUCAACUAAAACGAAUAAUUAACUAGUACGAAGGUAAACAGGAAUUAAAUCAAGAAUAGAUAAAUUCUAACCAAGGAUACAACUACUCAGACACAGUCCAUUCAUCCGAUCAUUGAUGCAAGGGAGGUUCACUUUAUUUUAUUAAUAGGUUAGUUAUAGUCGCCAACGAGCUCUGACGACCAAUUUUUCCUUAAUUUAUUGAUAACCAAGGUACGACCAUUGAUUUUCCUAACCAGAAAAUACUCUUAAGUACGACCGUAGAAAUUAAUUCCCCAAUUAUAUUAAGAAUUAGAAAAAUCUAACCCCAAUCAAUAACAGUCGGCCCGCAUGAACAAGGAAGAAUAAUCAAAAAACUAUCUCUAAACAAUGACUAGUGCUCCCUACGUGUUUUUUGCCGAAUUGAGAGAAAGGGUACAAAAAGAGAGCCCUGCGAAUUCCACUUUUUUCGUUUCCUCUUUGAUAGGAAGACUCCUACUCAGCAACUCUUCAUCAGCCCAAGGGAAAGGAAGUCCGUUUCUUCUCCAUGUGGGCCAGGUUUGUGGAGCCUUUUGAAGCCUUCCACCUGUGGAAAAAUUUUCAAGAAAGUUUCCCUUUUUUUUUUUGCACCUUUCCGCUCCACUCCCUGAAAUUGAGUCCAAAUAUCAAAUAUAAGUAGAUAUUAAUGAUUAAAACAAUAUUUGACAAGGACAAAGGAAAAAAUUAACAAUAAAAUUACUAACAAUUAACACCUUAUCAAGAAGGGCGAGGUGCGGGAAAGGGGAAGGGGAGAAGGAAGGAGGAGGAGGAACAGGGAUGGGGAGAGGGGAAGAGAGAGGACGUGAUGGUACUGAAUAGUAGUUUUAAUUUUUUUUAAAUACUCUAAAAAUUUUAAAACUUUAAAAAUACUCCAAAAAAUAUUUUAAAAACACAUUCAAAAACAUCAUAAAAAACAUGUAUAGUAAAAGUUUUUCAUAUAUAUUUUUACACGUAAAUAGUUAAUCCAGAUGGAGCUACUAGAUAUUUUUAAAUGCACGUCACAUCAUAUGCACUUAGGCCUGUCAACGGGCCGAAAUUCAUUAUUCUGGACCCGGAUCCGACCCGUUUAUCCGACGGGUCUUUUACUCCAUGUUCCGGAUCCGGAUUCAACGGGUCUCAGAUCUGGGUCAGGUUUACCCGAAAAAAUUUACAAAACUUACAAUUUCUAAUAAAAAUGAGAAAAAAAUAUAUUUGAAAACUAAUUUCUAACUAGUACAAGACAAAAACCAAAUAAGAAAAGAAAUCAAAUUGACUUAACUCAAAUAUAUCACCCUAAUCAUAUUAUAUUGAUAAAUAUAUAUUUUAAAUUAUUAAUCCAUUUAUAUUCGAAUCCGGGUCUAAUAAGGGUUGGAAUACUAUAUUCUAUAUCCGACGCAUUUUUUGUUUGAUAAAACGGAUCCGGAUCCGGAUCCGGAUAAUGAAAUUAAAUCCCUACCCAUACUUAUAAUAAUUUCACGGAUAUGAUCCUGAUCCGGAUCUAAACCCGGACCGUUGACAGGCCUAUAUACACUCCCCGUCUCAAUGGCCAAACGUAUCUUUUGGUUUAUAUCUACCAGAGAGGCCGCACUUGACAAGUCUUUGUCUAACAGCACGUCGCAGUCCAUUUUUUCUUGUUUGUUGCUUUUCACAGGCUAUUGAAGUGAGGCCAAAACUCAAAAGUCCAACCAAUGACUUAUUCCUCAGGUUCAGAUCUCUGUACUCUUGCACAUUUGCAGGAUGGCGUACUGGGAAACAAUUUGAUCAACUUUUUUCCGUUUCAAUGCAAAUUGCUCAACCUUGUCCUUUUCUUCAUAUACUAAGGCUUCAUUUGGAUGGGGAGAAAAGGACAGAAAAGAAAAUAUAUGAGGGAAAGUCUUAUCAUUUCAUUUUGGGAGUUUUAACAAGGAUGGAAGAGAAGCGAAAUGAACAGAUAAAAGUCACUCUAAUUGGUGAAAAUUUUUCUACCCAAAAUUGGCAAGAAAAGGACGGAAACUUGUUGGGCACCAAAAAAUAUUUUUAAUAUGACAAUUUUAUCCUUUAAAAGUUGAUACAAAAAUUCAUUAUUUCCAAUAUAUCCUAAAGUUGAUUUGUAAAAACACCGAUGUGCAAAGCUUUCUCAAUCCUAUACUUUCAAUACUUCAAACUAGUUGAAUUCACUUGGCUUUCUUCCGUUCUUCACUCACAAUUCAAUAACAAAAGGUAUUUUUUUUUUACUCAAUCUCCUUUCUUUCUAUGCUCAAUCUUCUCUAGAGAAUUGUGGUAAAAGCAUCUUUUGUGUAGAUUGUUAUUGUUUAUAUUCUAAAUUUUUUAUUCAUUUUCAGUCAUAAAAUUCUUGUUAAUGAACUCUUGAUUUUUAUAUUAUUGAUUUGUGAUUAUAUAUUGCAUGGUUAUGGUACAUGUAAGCGUCAAUGGUGAUAAAUGAAUAUGAAAUUUGAAUGCAUACAAUCUGUUUGUUUAUUUGCCUAUGUAAGCUUCCAAUUGUAAAAUGAUCAUUCUAGAGUCCAUAAAUAGUAUGUUAGCCACUUUUUAUUGUAACAAUGCAUCUUUCUUUGAAAUGAUUAAAAAGAUGAUGAUACUAGAAGUAUUGUUUUUUUGAUGUCUUUUGUUGUUAAAAGUGUUCUAUAGUAUUUAAACUGAUCAGUACAUGAAGGUACCAAUGCUGAUAAUAACACGCAAAUGUAAAUGACAAGUACCAAUAACGAGCUGAAAUGCUGAAAUUUAACACUUGAGUAAAAAAGGGCAAAUAGUUCCAGUUGGAAAAAAAAAAAAGAAAAAAAAAGAACAAGCUAAUGCAAAGAAGGCAAGAAAUGGAUGUAAUCAGAAAGUUACAUGUCUUGAAAGCUGCUCAAAGCAUUUUCCCUCUCCCAUCUCCCCUCCCCCUCACAAGUAUGAAAAAAAAAGCACAAAAGCAUAUGAUAAAAGGAAAUUAAUUCAGGAAAGAAUUAGAGGAAAAAAAAUAAGGUGAGGAGUGAGUUUCAGCUUAGCAAAAACACUAGCUGAAACAUGUAUAAUGGCAUUUCCGGUCAACAUCAAAAUCAUAUGUCAAGAAUACCUAAAAGAUACUACGAGGACUUGAGGCGAUUUACAUGCAUGAAAGAAAAUCAAUGUCCAGCAAGAAAUUUGUUUUAUUAUUCACCUCGUGAGAAUGCAUAUGCAAUUGUUUUAGAAAUUUGUCUUACCUAAAUAUUCUAUUUAUUGGAACAUGAAAGCUAAUCUUUGGACUUUGAUUUAAAAAUUGAAAGGGCAAAUAAGUAAAGUUGUAUUCUCAUAAAAUCAUUUCUUUCCACAUUUCUUCAACUCUCAAAUAAGAGAAAGAUGUUUCUUUUCUUUUCUUUCAUUGAACUCCCAAACGAAAUAUGCAUAUUUUCCCUUCUUUUCCUUUCUUUCCUAAGUUAUCUUUUCUUUUCUUUUCUUUUCUCCUCCUUCAUAAACUCCCAAACUAAGCCUUAAUAAAAUCAUAGAUUAGAUUACUCUGGAUUCACUCAAGACCUUGAACAUUUUCAUUCCUAGAUUUACCUGGAUCCAAUAUUAAAAAGAAAAAAAAGUAAAAAAAAAAAAAAAAAACUAUUUCCCUUCCUGGAAAAAGCAGAAGAUAGUGAUCUUUGGAAUCGUUUAUCACUAAAGUUGGUCAUCACAUGCCAACUCAAAUUGGUUAUACCAUUCUGUCUUGUAAGUAUCUUCAAUUACAUUCCCUGUCUGCUGUCUCCUUUCGUUGUGGACAAAUGAAAGUUUAUUUGUUUAGGCCAAUCAAAGUCUCACAUCAAUGAAAGGUAGAUCAUCCGAAUUUAUCAUAUUAUUAUUGAAAGGAGCUGCUUGCAGGCAUAAAGUUCUCAACAUCUUUGGGAAAACAAAUUAAGUAGACCAAGUACCUCAAAGAACUAUAAAGUCACAUUCAGUCUCAUAGGCAGAUCAGAGAUGGCAGAAUUGUUUAAUAAGCAGGCUAAACAGUACUCGGAAAGCCGGCCAACUUACCCAGAGGAGCUGUUCCAGUUCAUUGCAUCCAAGACACCGUGCCAUGACCUCGCUUGGGAUGUAGGCACCGGCAGUGGCCAGGCUGCAAGAACUGUAGGCAUCUUUAAACCAGAGCCGACACUAAAUUUUUCUUUGGAACAGUUUUUGUUGAAUUGUGCUUUACUGAUUAAUCACUACUGACUUUUGUCAGUUGGCUGGGAUAUACAAGAACGUGGUAGCCACAGACACGAGCCCGAAGCAACUGGAAUUUGCACUCAAGCUUCCCAACAUUAGAUAUCAAUGUACGCCUCCUAAGAUGUCUAUUGCUGAGCUUGAGCAAAAUGUCUCGGUAGAAUCAAGUGUUGAUUUAGUGACAAGUGCUGCAGCUAUGCACUGGUUUGAUCUUCCAACUUUCUACCAGCAAGUGAAAUGGAUACUGAAAAAGCCUGAUGGAGUAAUUGCAGCAUGGUCCUACGCUAAGGCGGAGAUCAACGCUGCCAGUGCUAACACUCUUCUCCAAAUGCUAUACGAUAAUUGUGAUCCUUACUGUGAUCCACGAGCCAGAUAUUUCGUACAUGACAGGUAUAGAACCAUUGAUUUCCCAUUUCAGCCAGUUGAUGGGCUUGAGCACACUGGACCAUUUGAAUUCAAAACGGAACGCUUGAUGGAUUUAGAUGACUGCUUCACAUUCAUAAAGUCAUGGUCACCAUACCAAACUGCAAAAGAUGCAGGAGUUGAACUCUUGAGUGAUGAUGUGGUUCAGGACUUCACCCGUGCUUGGCAUGAAGAUGCCAAUCCCAAGAAAGUUGCUACUUUUCCUAUCAGCCUAAAGGUUGGAAAAGUUGGGAACUAGAACAAGUGAAGGCUUUGCAGGUUCGUUUGGAUGAAACUUCCCAUUUCCUACUGAUUGAGUUCUGUAUCAAACAUCAAUCCACUAGCUCAUAAUUACAUUAUGUAGGCUUAAUUCGCAAUAAUUAUUGUAAGAAGGUGAAUUUAUAGCCUCUUAAGCGACCUAUAUUCUUUGUCAAACAUUACAUAUAUUAAUUUGCUGGGAAACUUAUUAGAGCUGAAGUUAAUAAAAUAUGCAGCCGGAUGGAAGUCUCUGAACGAACGCUAGAAUCUUUAUGCUCAUGCUUUCCGGGAAGGCAGGUUGUUUUCCUCGCUCUCCUUAUGAAAGAUCUUCGCUUUAAUCUGCUGAGAUGAAAACUUCCGUUCCUUGUCUCACUUCGACUUCUGUCUCUGCUAGUACCUACUUUCCAUAGUCAUUGGUCGAUUAAUCUGCCUUACUCUCAGAUCAGAUGUUGUGUCAGUACCAGAAUCUUAGCUACGGUUUAUUCUAGUUGAGGUGUAAUCUCUCUUUCAAGACCUUUUCAGCCGGCCUUCUACAAGCUUCACCAGAAGCGACUAGUCGCUCCCUCGAAUGCCUCUUUAGUAUAGGCUAGUUUGUCUUUUGCCUCCUUCCUCACUUCCUGGUAUGGUGACCCGACGAGGAACGACAAGGCCAUAUCCAUGUUCGUCUAUCAUGAACGGGCAAAGGGGCUAAUGGUAGAAUUUGUUUUGAAUCAUUAUAAGGAAAUUAUCAAAUUUAUGCUUAUGCCUCUCUAAUAAAAAAAAAUUUAAAUUUGUAGUUCACGUUGAAAACUAUAGAUUAAAUUGAAACUUUUAGUUCUUUUUAUCCUACGUGACAAUUAGAAUACUUAAAUGGCAACAAUAAUAUCAUUAUGAGAAUAAAAUUUGAAAGUGAAUCACAUUAGAAAUAUCAUUAUGGCAAAAAAACUUGAGCAAAGUAAACCUUCCCACUAUUAAUGGGAUUUGGAACCCCCACCUCGUAAAUUGACGCUAAGGGUGCGUUUGCUUCUAUAGAAUUAGAAUUGAAUUAGAAUCGAAAUUCUAUAGAAUUGGAAUUCUAUGAAUUGGAAUUCCAAGGAAUUUCAAGUCAUUUCAAUUCUUUCGUUUGGGAAAUACAUAGAAUUGAUACGGAAUUUAUUUGGAAUUCCAAAUUCUUUGUUUGUAUGAGAGAAGAAUUCAUUAGGAAUUAGAAUUGUUUUCAAGAAAAUGCUUACAUAAAAUUUUUCUUUUUUUCUUUUUUCUAUAUAAUAAUUUCUUUUUUUUCUUACAUUUAGCUAAUUUUUACUAAAGAUUUAAAAGAAAAAACCAAUUUGUGCCUUUAAUAAUUUAUUUUUUCUCACUCUCAUAUCAAUUUCUUUGGUGAGCAUUUCCUUUAGCAUGUUUUGAUCCAUUAUCCCUUUUUGUGAAGAAAUAUUUCCCCAUCUCAGCCGUGGUAUUUUCAACUGUGUUUUGAUAUAUUAUAAUAAAGCAAAAUUCUUUCUUAUUUCUAAUACUUAUGCAAAAUUCAAAAAAGAUUUCAUCAAUCAUAAUAGCUAUGCACAACUAAAACUCAAACUCCUCUAUUAAGUACCAAUGGCAUGAUAAAAAUAUGAGAGAGGAAAAGUUGAAGCAAUUUUUCACUCAUGUGACAAUAACUACAAAAUCAAGAAGCAAUAUUUCAUGAAAAAAAGGUAAGAAAACAAUCAGUUACAAAUAAAUCCUACAUAUGCAACAAAAACACUUGAUCAAAUGCUUCAACUGCAUAAACCAAAAAGCUAAAAACUAUCAGUUACAAAUAAAUCCUAACUCAAGAGGCCAACUGUAUAAACCAAUUUCUGCUUCUCCCGUUUCCACCCCUACUCCAACCGCCUCGUCUUGUUUCUGUCUCUGUUUUAUGUUCUUCAGUAAAUAAAUAGAAACUUAAAAACAAAAAAAAUUCCAGCCAAAACACAUAUCUCCAAAUACCCCUUUGUUUGUUCAUAUCAAUUCUUCACUUAGGUAGCUGCGCAUUGAGCCGUAAGGAGAGUUGAUAGCCACGAAUUGUAUAUGUUCAGGCAUAACUCUGCAGAUCAGAGGUCAAGAGAAAGUACUUCAAUGAAGCAGCAGAUACAACAUAGGUAUAUUGCUGAGAGGUUUGAUGUAAUGAUUGAGAAGAUCAUAGAGGAACAUCAAGAGACAAGGACGAAGCGUCGGCAUAACAAUGAUGCAAGUCAACAAAUGAAGGAUCUACUUGAUAUAUUGCUCGAUAUAUCUGAAGAUGAAAGCUCAGACAUAAGAUUGACAAGAGAGAACAUCAAGGCUUUUAUCCUGGUAAAACUCAUGGCUGCCUCCUCUUGUUUACUUUUACCUUUUAUUGUCGCAGUUGAUUUAUGAAAUGGAACUAGAUUUCUGCAACAAGAAUACCGCAUCUACUACCAUCAGGGUAGUAGGAACUGUAGGACAACUGUAGGACAACUGUUCUAAUUAGUGUCAAAAUUGAACCGUUAUUACCAGGCUCAAUAGUUGAAACAUGAAAGCCAGAGAUAGAGCUAUAAUUUUCACAUCAAAAACCUAUUCACAGCAUUCUAAGUGCUUGAAAAUAAAUACCUUUAUAAAACCACAGAUACAAGGAAGACUGAAGUGACGAUCUUCAGCCUUUAAGCAUGCCCAACUUCAUAUCAGCCCACAACUUUGAUAUCAAGAAGAAUGCACCGACUUCACUUAAAUGCAGGGCAAGGUUAAACAAGCCUUCCUGUAACAUAUUAGGAACAAUCAAACACAUUUAAAUAUACGCUAAGAGAGAGUGUGUGAGAGAAUUUAUGACAGCAUUAAAUAGUCCAAAACAAACAUUCAUCACAUUCCAUGUCCAUUGACGAGAAUUUAGCAGCCUUGAGCUGAUACAUAAAAUAUUUUCAGGCCCUGACAGCAAGUUUUUCAACAGCCACUGCAGUAUAGAACUAAAAAUUCGCUCUGUCAAAGUAAAUUUGUGAUUCCUUCUAUGAUUCUAGAUACUAAGUUAAGAAGAGUAGAACUGGUUUUAAGAAGAUUUUUUAAUCUGACACUUGGUCAUAACAGCCAACAGCCUUGGAGUGUGAACUGGAGACGUUAUAUACUUGAUCAUAACAGCCAACAGCCAACAAAUUUAUGCGUAUUGGUGAAAUAGAUUUUGUUAAUAUAAUACAAGUUUUAAAGAGAUUAAUUCUAUCAUAUAUGAUAAAAGCAAAAUUGAUUUUUCAUUUUCUUAUGACUGCACGAAGAUAGUGUUACUGAAACGAACCUUCAUUGUUUUUCACGCAAACUGUUUAUGCUUUAUUAGGAUGUGUUAAAACUUUUGUGAAUAUGAAGACUACUUUCUCGGUAAGAAAGUGAGUUCCAAUUUGUUAGCUACUACUAAGAGCAAAGAAUAUGCAGUCUAAAAGGUUUAAGCUAUGUUGAUCUUUAAGUAAAGCAUUUUUCAUCUUUUUUUCUUAAUAUACAUUUCAGCAGCCAUUGGCCAGGAAAGUUGAUAAUUAAGCUCUAAGGCUCAGAGAACUAAAUUCAACACUCCCUCAUUUUCUCUCCUCAAUCUCACACAACACACACACAAGAGAGAAUUAAUGGAGGAGAUCCAACAUUUCAGUCAUGAGCAUCCCUUGAUAUUGAGCAAACUCAAAGACGAUGAAUUCUCUGAUAAGAAAAUUAGUCGUUGCAGAGGCUGUUCACUUAAAAUUUUGCCAGGAUCAACCUUUUAUUCAUCAAUAUCUAGGUAUGUUCUUCAUAUUACACACCAUCCACCAUAAGAAACAAAAGGGAUCACAAAAUUCCAUUCAAAUACAGAUCAACCAGAAUUUCAUUCAACAAUUUACUUGUCUAAAGACAAAACAACACCAAAAAUUCAACAAGAAAACACUAACAAAAAGGUUCCCUUUUCAUAUCAUGAUUAAUCCUUUCAACUUUUACAGUAUGAGCUCUCCAAUUUUCAUCAAAGUUCAAGGGAAAAUAAUCAAUCAAGUGACAGUGGACAAUCAGAGCAACAAUGGAAUACAAAAGUAAUGAUCAAUGAAUUUUGCCAAAUUGGUAAUGAAAUUUCAUUCUUUACUCAUCGAAUCAAUUCUCAAUUCAUUCACUGGAAGGGAAGGGGAAGACUGACAGAAACUAAUUAAAACCCCAUAAUUUCAACCUGUGUUAUGCAGUGGCUAGCACAAGUGGAGGAGGCGGCGGCAGGAAUGCUCCAACAGAGCAUUAGAUAUGGCGAUCGAUAAUGGGAAGAGAAGAGAGACGUUUGAGUUUUUUCCAUCAAUUUUAUAGUUGACCCAUUUUUGAGAUUUUACCCGUAAAAGACCCGCGUAUUGACCCGAUUUAAGAGUUCAAGCGUGGAAUUGGAAUUGGAAUUCUUUGGUCCAGCCAAAGAAUUGAAACUACGGAAUUCGAUGGAUUUAGAAUUGCAAUUCAAUUCUAAUUCUAUAGGAAAAAUAAUACCCAAACACAAGAAUUGAAAUUGAGGUUUCAAUUCCAAUUCUAUACUCCAAUUCUAUGGAGAACCAAAUGUACCCGUAAAAGAAAUUCAAAACAAUACAAGUUUUGGAGUAGACAUUAAAUCGUGAGUUGUGAUUUCCUUUUUUUUUUUUUAAUCAUAUUCUCUUCCAAGUAGGGGUCUUGGGAGAAGAGGAAAUCCUGUUAUAUUAUCAAAACAAUGCAAGUUUUGGAUAAGACAUUAAAUUGGGAACUGCACCUGUCUGUUGCAGGCUGUCCUGUCAAAUUGCGACAAUACUUGCAAAUUGCCGGUUUUUUACGAUUGAUCUGGGAUUCGGUUUGUUUAACUCAAAUACUUGAGGUUUCUCAAGUUGUUGAAAGAACAAAAGAUAGGAAUCAAAUCCCCGAUCACUGGACAGGAAGCAUAGAGCUCAAACUACUCAGGCCACCGUCCAUUCCUGAUUGGAGAAGCCCAAAAAUGCCGAUAACAAAGUAACGAUACUAUGCACCAUAUCAUGUACUCCCUCUGUCCCGAAAUAUUUGUCACAUUUCAAGUCUCACACUUAUUUUCAAUAAUGCCAAAAUUUCAAAUGGUUUUAAUCUAAGUUCCAGCAAUAUCCUUAUUCAGUUUCUAUGCAUUAUAACUUGUUGAAUGACAGAAAGGUAAUGGAGUGGUGACAAGACAUAGGGACUCAUGUCUCAAAAAUGUCUCCAGCUGUUUUUCGGAAAAGUAUUUCGAACGAAUCGUUUGCACUUGCUGUAGGACUCAUGCAUAUCAAGUGUAAUUCUUGAAUCCACGCGAGUAACACAAAAAAAAAAACAUGUUUUUACAUUCAUAACAUGUACAAAAUGAAGAAAAUAUUGAAGAAUUAAUUAUCGUGUCAUCGGCUUAUCGCUCUAAUCAAUAUAAUUGUUGUUUUUCUUUUGUCAUUUUAUCUUUUCAGUUGGCAAGGACAUUCAAGAAAGUCAUAGGGACAGACACUAGUCCAGAGCAGCUAGAAUUCGCAGCCAAGGUACCAAAUGUUCGAUAUGAAUGUACUUCUUCCAAAAUAUCCACAGCAGAACUUGAAGAAAAAUUGGAUCGGGAUCCAGUGUUGAUUUAGUGACCAUUGCUCAAGCAAUGCAUUGGUUUGAUCUCCCAGAGUUCUACAAGCAAGUAAAAUGGAUACUGAAAAAACCCAAUGGAGUAAUUGCUGCGUAGUGCUUUACUGUGGCAGAAGUUAACCAAAAAAUCGAUCCUCUCAUGCAGAAAGGAUACUAUGGUGAUGCUCAACCUUAUUGGGAAGCACCAAUUAAGCUGGUAGACAAUAGAUAUGAGACCAUUGAUUUCCCAUUUCAGCCUGUGGAUGGACUUGAUCACACUGGACCAUUCAAAUUUAAGUCAGAGACUCGGAUGGAUUUGGAGGAGGGGCUGGGACGGCUGUCAGAGACAACCGUUCCGGAAGGUUCACGACCAUGAUUAGGCCAAAAAAUUUGUACGGCUCAGAUCACUCCUUGUAACUCGAUUUUCACGCUGUGUGGGACCCACAAAAAUAUUGUUGUAGUGUUACUCGCUGUUGUUCUAUUGUUACAUUUUGUACAGAUGAUGUUACACUGUAUGCAAAUGGUGUUACACCUUUCGGAACGGUUAAUCUGACAACCAUUCCAGCCCCGGAUCCGAUGGAUUUGGAUGGCUACUUCACAUAUAUAGGGCCAUUGCCAGCUUACCAAACUGCAAAAGAAAAGGAAGUGGAACUCUUGACUGAUGAUUUGGUCAAGGAUUUCACUGCUCCAUGGACUGAAGAUGGCAAACCAGAGAAAGUUGUUUCUUUUCCAACCUAUCUGAAGAUUGGGAGAGUUGGCAAUUAGUAUUAAUAUGGACUAUAGAAUCUUCUUUUCCUGAAUGCUCAUAGUAUUAUAUGUAGGCUGUGCAAACUUUUCUUUACUGACCCUUCUAUGCUCUUUCAGCUAUUAAUAUCUGAUGAGAUCAUUACUUUAUUUAUGGUUAGAUUGAUACCAAAAAAAAAAGUUUAGAUUGAUGCAAGUGAGAUAAUCUAUACCAAUAUGUAAAUACAUAGUCAUUAGCAUUACCAUGACAGAUCACUAUUACAAUAACAGGACUCUUGAUUAAAAAGAAAAGAAGUCAACUUGUAAGAGAUAGAAGAGAGAUAAGUAAUCAGCCACAUCAAUUGGAUGAAAGAGUAGGCAAGAAAUUUCGUAAUUGAAAAUGUCGUCAGCUAUGAUGCAGGUUAAGACAGAAUCUUGUUAGAUGCCAAAUUCUAACAAGGUUGCAGAAGAAAACUUCGCUGCCUGCUUGUACUACUUUUUGACUGCUUUACAUUUAUUCGGGACAAUGAUGGACCACAAAAUGCAAGGAUCCAUUGAACUUCUUUCGAUGGACCCAUGCCAAUUUACUUCUAGUACACUGCAGAAACCAUUGCUGGCAAUCUUAAAGUUCUUUUAUUCAAGCAUUAAUGUGAACUGUAGGUCACCCGAAGAUACUGUAUUAUUAUUAAAAGGUUGCUUGCAAGCUUAAAGUUCUCUAACAUAUUUGGGAGAACAAAUUAAGUAGACCAAGUACCUCCUCUCGGAACUGGUGAACAUACAUACCCACCCAUUCAGUCUCAUAGGCAGAUCAGAGAUGGCAGAAUCGUAUGAUAAGCAGGCCAAGCAGUAUUCAGAAAGCAGGCCAACUUACCCAGAGAAACUGUUCCAGUUCAUAGCAUCCAAGACACCGUGCCAUGACCUUGCUUGGGAUGUAGGCACGGGCAGUGGCCAGGCUGCGAGAACUGUAAGCAUCUCUAAACCAAAAUUCAACUCUGCAUUUCUUCUUUUUCAGGACAGAUUUUCUCGAAUUGUGCUUUGCUGAUUUAUCACUACUGACUUUUGUCAGUUGGCUGGGAUAUACAAGAACGUGGUAGCCACAGACACGAGCCCAAAGCAACUGGAAUUUGCACUCAAGCUUCCCAACAUUACAUAUCAAUGCACCCCUCCUGAGAUGUCUAUUUCCGAGCUUGAGCAAACGGUGUCAGCAGAAUCAAGUGUUGAUUUAGUGACAAGUGCUGCAGCUAUGCAUUGGUUUGAUCUUCCAAACUUCUACCAGCAAGUGAAGUGGAUACUAAAAGAGCCUGACGGUGUAAUUGCAGCAUGGUCCUAUACUAAGGCAGAGAUCAACGCUAGCGCCGCUAAUGCUCUUCUCCAGAAACUGUAUGAUGAUAGUGAUCCUUACAUAGAUCCACGAGCCAGAUUUUUCCUACACGACAAGUACAGAACCAUUGACUUCCCCUUUCAGCCAGUCGAUGGACUCGACCACACUGGACCAUUCGAAUUCAAAAUGGAAUGGUUGAUGGAUUUAGAUGACUGUUUCGCAUUCAUAAAGUCAUGGGCACAUUACCAAGCUGCAAAAGAUACCGGAGUUGAACUCUUGCAUGAUGAUUUUGUUCAAGGCUUCACUCGUGCUUGGCAUGAAGAUGGCAAUCCCAAAAAGAUUGCUACUUUUCGUAUUAACCUAAGGAUUGGAAAAGUUGGGAACGGGAGCAAGUGAAGGUUUUGCAGCUUCGUAUGGAUGAAAGUUUCCAUUCCCUACAGAUUUGAGUUCUGUAUCAGAUAUCAAGCCACCAGCUAAUAAGUACAUAGCUUUUAGAGUGAUUAUUUCUCAAAAAAAGUCAUUUAAUAGCCAGGUAAGCCACCUAUGUUCUCUUGAUAAACAUUUAUCUACUUGCUGGGAAAAUUAGUUGAAGUUAAUAAAUAUCCAUCGAAUCUGAAAAGAGGCUUAGAAUACAUGGUCCAAAUAAUGCUAUCCUGUCAAGAAAAUCUCAAAUUUACCAAACUCCGCGCUUGUCAAUUCAGAAAAGUUGGUCUUAUACUUGCCUACAGUUCCAUAAUUGGCUAUCCUGUUCAUUAUAAUAAGUUUUAUAUCAGAUAAGUAGACAAAGCUAAUGGUGAAUUAAGAUACAUAAGAGGUAAAAAACGAAAAGAAGAAGAAGUUUACACCUAACUUAUUGAAUGGCUGAUAGUCAAAACUGCACACUACUUGAUGUAAUCAACGGAUUGAUGACCAGAAGACUAAGCCUAACUGGAUAGUUUGAGAAAGUAUGUUUUGGUCCGGAGGUACCAAAUGAAAUCCAUUGAAAUAUAUAUAUAUACAUACAAUGUCUUGACUUCGACUAAAAGUAAUCGACAGGCCAUCAAUUCAUAGUUAGCAGGGUUAAAAUGCAUCAUCUUCGAAGAUUGUAAAUCGCAUAUCCGGGAAGAUUGUAAACCGCAAAUCAGGGAAAUUACUCUUAAGACAACAAUCCGUCAUCACGAUUUUCUGCUAGCUAAUGCAGUUAUAAUUCCACCAGCUAUAAGUCCCACAGUAGUAACUGAAAUGCCAACUCCAAUGACACCAUCUGCACCAUAAAGUUAAACUUUUAUUCCAUGUAUUGCUAUACUCGAACAAAAAAUCCUGAGGAUUCAAAGCAAUAUGGCUAUCACCUUUUGUAAUUUGUUCUAUGACUGUCUUCUCAAGGUACAAAGCCUGCCUCCAAUCAGGUUUAAUCUAGCAAACAAAGACAAAACCAAGGGGAUAAAAGCACCACUCUUGAACGCAACCAAAAUGUUCAACAAUUUCUUUCUUUUGACAAGUAAUAGUCACGUUAAACUAUGAGCAAUUUCACUAAUGGGAGCAGAAAACUAACCUCCAAACAUUUCUCUACAAGCUGCAGGCUCCUUGAAUACUCACCACUUCUAUAACAACCAACAGAUAGAAGGUAAAGCUUUUCACUCUUCUGAGAUGGACUAUUGGUUCCAGAGAGAGAGGCUGCACACAAACAAUAGUCAGUCUUUAGUAGUGAGAGUAGUUUGCAACUCAUGUUUAAAUCGAAUUUAAAUGCCAAAACUCCAAUUGCAGUUCUCUCCUUCCAGCUUUCUAAAAAGGUCAUACACUCUCAAAACAGUAUUUUUCAUAGUAUAGCAAAACAAGUACUACAAUAAAGUAAAAUUUUAAUUCUUCUACUUGUGAAACUCAGCGAACUCUAACACAUGCAAUGACAUAGGGCUUGUUUGGAAGUGAGUUUUUUGGCCAAGUUUUUUAGCUACAAGUUUUUUAACAACUUUAGCUACAGGAACCCAAAAAAACUUAUCAAAUUUUUUAACCUACACACUUCAAAAUAUCUAAUACACAAAAAACUUCUAUCUUUCUUCUUCUUUCUCCCCCACCCCAUCCACCAUACCUUCAUCGCCGGCCACCACCUCUACCGCCGUUUCCGGCGCCGGCCACUUAUUCCGACACCGGCGUACCCAAAUUUUUUUUUUUCCUUCCUUUCUCCCUCCCUCCCCUCUCUGGCCAAACUCCCCCAACCUAUGCAGCAACAGCGGUUACUUUCUUUUCUGCUCUGGUUUUUCUUUGUCCCUCCAGUAACAGCAAUGCUACGGUUGACGGGGGAACAGAGGGGGUGGGGGUGGCGGGAAACGGGAAACGGGAAGGGGAACAGGGAAAGGGGAAACGAGAGGGGGGACGGCUGGUGGGAGGAGGGGGUGGCGUGCCGGGGGAGGGGCUGGGGGGCAGCGGGGGCCGGGCUUGCAGAGGGGAGGGGGAAGGGGCUGGCAGGGGGAGGAGGCAGCGGGGGAGGGGCUGGCCGGGGGAAGGGAGGGCGGCGGCGGGGGCCGGGCUUGCAGAGGGGAGGGGGAGACAGAGGCUGGCGGGAGAAGGGGGCUGGCAGGGGGAGGAGGCAGCGGGGGACGGCUGGCCGGGGGAGGGGGAGGCGGGGGGCAGCGGGGGCCGAGCUUGCAGAGGGGAGGGGAAGGGGCAGAGGGGCUGGCAGGGAAGGGGGUGGCGGGGGGAAGGGCUGGCGGGGGGAGGGGGAGGCGGGGGCAGCGGGGGCUGGGCUUGCAGAGGGGAGAGGGAAGGGGCAGAGGGGCUGGCGGGGGAAGGGGGGUGGCGGGGGAAAUGCAGAGCAGAGGAGAAGGGGGCUAGGAGAAGAGGGGUGGCGGGAGGGGGAAGGAAGAAGAAGAAGAAGAAGAAAGAGAGGAAAGAAAAGAAAAAGGAAAAAAAGAAAAAGAAAGAGAAAGAAAAAAAGAAAGAAAGAAAAAAAAGAAAAGGAAAAAAAAUUCACCUCACAAAAAUUUUUACAAAAUUUUUUAUCUUACAAAAACUUUUACAAAAAAUUUUUCACCUUACAAAAACUUCUACAAAAUUUUUCAAAAACUUCUACAGUACACUACAGUAAAGUUUUAGACAAACUCCCAAAAAACUCAGGUUCCAAACAGGCCCAUAAUUCCUUAAUACGACAUGGCAUAUGCUUAUGACAUGCAGUAUUAUUUAAAAAAAAGGAAAAAAAUCUCUUAAUGACAUGAUUACUUCUCUAGAUAACAAACAUCUACAUUCCAGUAGGACAAGUGUCAUUGAACAACCAUAAACAAAUAAUGCAUGUAGUUACUCCUGCACGGAGGGCACAGAUGGUCAAUGAUUAGGAAAUUUUUUUUGGCCAAAGAGUUUAAAACAAUGGGCCUGUUUGGAACCUGAGUUUUUUGGGAGUUUGUCUAAAACUUUACUGUAGUGUACUGUAGAAGUUUUUGAAAAAUUUUGUAGAAGUUUUUGUAAGGUGAAAAAUUUUUUGUAAAAGUUUUUGUAAGAUAAAAAAUUUUGUAAAAAUUUUUGUAAGGUGAAUUUUUUUUCCUUUUCUUUUUUUUCUUUCUUUCUUUUUUUCUUUCUCUUUCUUUUUCUUUUUUUCCUUUUUCUUUUCUUUCCUCUCUUUCUUCUUCUUCUUCUUCUUCCUUCCCCCUCCCGCCACCCCUCUUCUCCUAGCCCCCUUCUCCUCUGCUCUGCAUUUCCCCCGCCACCCCCCUUCCCCCGCCAGCCCCUCUGCCCCUUCCCUCUCCCCUCUGCAAGCCCAGCCCCCGCUGCCCCCGCCUCCCCCUCCCCCCCGCCAGCCCUUCCCCCGCCCCCCUUCCCCUGCCAGCCCUCUGCCCCUUCCCCCUCCCCUCUGCAAGCUCGGCCCCCGCUGCCCCCCGCCUCCCCCCUCCCCCGCCAGCCCCGUCCCCCGCUGCCUCCUCCCCCUGCCAGCCCCCUUCUCCCGCCAGCCCCUCUGUCUCUUCCCCCUCCCCUCUGCAAGCCCGGCCCCCGCUGGCCCCCGCCUCCCCCUUCCCCCGGCCAGCCCCUCCCCCGCUGCCUCCCCCCUGCCAGCCCCUUCCCCGCCAGCCCCUCUGCCCCUUCCCCCUCCCCUCUGCAAGCCCGGCCCCCGCUGCCCCCCAGCCCCUCCCCCGGCACGCCACCCCCUCCUCCCACCAGCCGUCCCCCCUCUCGUUUCCCCUUUCCCUGUUCCCCUUCCCGUUUCCCGUUUCCCGCCACCCCCACCCCCUCUGUUCCCCCGUCAACCGUAGCAUUGCUGUUACUGGAGGGACAAAGAAAAACCAGAGCAGAAAAGAAAGUAACCGCUGUUGCUGCAUAGGUUGGGGGAGUUUGGCCAGAGAGGGGAGGGAGGGAGAAAGGAAGGAAAAAAAAAAAUUUGGGUACGCCGGUGUCGGAAUAAGUGGCCGGCGCCGGAAACGGCGGUAGAGGUGGUGGCCGGCGAUGAAGGUAUGGUGGAUGGGGUGGGGGAGAAAGAAGAAGAAAGAUAGAAGUUUUUUGUGUAUUAGAUAUUUUGAAGUGUGUAGGUUAAAAAAUUUGAUAAGUUUUUUUGGGUUCCUGUAGCUAAAGUUGUUAAAAAACUUGUAGCUAAAAAACUUGGCCAAAAAACUCACUUCCAAACAAGCCCAAUAAUAAUGAGAAGAAGAGGAGGUAUGAGAACUAAACAUGGAUCAAAAUAUAAGGCAUAAAGUGGUUUUCUCUGCUUCCUUUUAUAAGUUGAAUGUGACUGAACAUGCAUAUAAGUAACAAAGCAACACAAUGAAAUGACAAUUAUUUGCAAGAUGUUGAAAAUAUCCAGUAAGCUAUAGUGAUUAGGGAAAUAAAGGGACACAAAUUAUGCAAAAAACCAGAUUUUGAUGUUGAACAAAUAUAAAAAGAGAUUUCAGAGUACUUGGACAUUGACAGGUGAGAAUUGAGAAUGUAAAAUCUCCUUUUUGACAUAAAAGUAGAUGUUUGGUGUAUUGAGAAAUCACCUUCGAGCAUAGCAAUCCCUCGCUGCACAUCUUCCAACUGUGUAGAAUGAACAAGAGCCCAUGACAAUCGCAUAAUGCUUUCACUCUUUUGUUCAUCAGUACCACUAUUUUCUACCUCUGCCACUUCUUUCUCACAGCCCUGCGGAUGAAUAGAAGAAACUUAAGGCUAACACCAAUGGAUAAGAUACUAAAUGUAACUUAUGCACAUAUAGCAGCAUAUGUUACUAAUACACUACUCAGAAAGCAAUCCCUACAUGAAGGCACUUAAUAUGAGCUUCAGAGACAUUCCACAGUGCACUCUCCCCUCCUAAAUCAAAAACACCAAAGUCUUCCAAGUUAUCCAAAAGGUGGGUUUUUGGACAAUAUGAUGUGCAUAUCUUUGACCGGUGCAUACUGUCAUUUUUUUUACUCCAUUCUGAAAAAGAAUCAACCAAAAAUAGAACAUAAGAAAUCUGGUAAUCCUUUAAAAUCCAAAUUAUUGUGAAUUUCUCAAAUAGCAAUCUGCAAAACUAACAUAAUUUGCAUUUUUCCACACAAUUUUAUAUGACAUUUUCCCCACUGUCUAGCAUAGCCAUCAAUAACCCGUAAAGACCUUCACAACACCUCUUGAAAGAAUCCUGCUUCCACAACUCCCUAAUAGAUCAACUUUUGUGGCAAAGGGUUGUAUUUUAUGCAAUGACAUUGCUCUGGAAACUAUCAACUUCCAAAACUUAUCCUAGUACAACUUCUAAAAGCAACACGAAUAGGCCUACAUUGCUUCUUUUUUUUUUGGUAGAUUAUAGGCGUACAUUGCUACAUGCACAUAUAUUUUUCUCAUUUACGUUUGAAUGGCUAUUAUUUUCUGAAAAAUUACAUAACACGUUUCCAAGCACCUUUUAAUCUUACAUGAACAUUUAUCCAAGAAAUAAAUAAAUAAAAAAAAGAUAGACUGCAAACCAUCAAUUCAGAUUAUGGAUGAUUGCUUCGAUUGCUACUUUAAAAAAAGAAAAACCUCUUUUUUCCAUGUUUCCAGACGUACCUAGAAAUCCAAAGGCUAGAUUACGAACAUAAUCUACAAAAAAGGAUUUCUACCAUUUUUUUUUCCACAACAACCAAAUAGACUUAUGAAAGAAUUAUAGAAUCACAAAACUCUAGAGAAUUGAAGAAAUUCUAGAAACCCACGUCAAGUUUCUAAGAUACUCAAUCAUGCAAGGCUUAAAAAGUUUAGAAAAAUAUGGAUACAACCAAGAGAAGUCGGAAAUUAAUGCCAAAAUUUUAACAGGGAAAAAAGGGGGUGCAAAAAACUUGGAUCUUUACAAGGAUAAUGUCCCGAUUGCACUUGGGAAGGUGCUGUCCAGGGUUGAAAAAGGAGGUGACAGAAUCCAACCAUUGCGAAAUCAUUGUAGUGUUAAUUUCACGCUAUAUAUGUCCUGGGCAUUGAAGGGGAGACAUAGGCGAGGUAUUUAUACCUUUGGGGCACUCUGGGCUUGCACGUUUGUAAGAGUUGGGCUAUUGGGAAUAUAGAGCUGCUGAAAUUGCUAUUAACAAUUAUAAAGGCCGCAAUCGAUAUCAUAUUGAACACCAAUCUCUUUUUGAGCUUUGUAUGGUGCUCUUGUUUGACUUUUUUUUAAAUCUUUUAGUAAGAAGACGAUGAAAUUUAAGAAGUUAAAUUUUUAUUUUAUUUCCCAUAGCUUAGACACAUUAGAAUGGGUUGUCUGUGUGUGUGUGUGUGUGUUAGGGGGGAGGGGGGUGGGAAAUUGUCACUAACAAUUAUAAAGGCCACACUCAUUGGGUUGGACUUAUUUCGAUUUCGUAUUGGAUACUAAGUCUCCUUUUGAGUUUUGUAAGGUGCUCUUAUCUUGCCUCCGUUUUUUUUUUUUUGGUCUUUCAGUAAGGGGACGGUGAAAUUUAAAAAAUUAAAGAUUUUUUUAUCUCCCAUAGUUUAGAGACCUUAGAAUGGGUGUUGGAAAAGGGGGGAGGGGGGAGGAAUUGAAUUAGAUGGUAAGGUGAAAGGGAGUAGGCCUGUCAACGGGUCGGGUCUAGACCCGGAUCCGGACCGGAUCCGUGAAAUUUUUCCGGGUAUGGGUAGGGAUUUAAUUCCGUUUUCCGGAUCCGGAUCCGGAUCCGUUUUGUCAAACAAAAAAACGGGUCGGAUACGGAAUAUAGUAUUCCGGCCCGUAAUAGACCCGGAUCCGGAUAUAAAUGAAUUAAUAAUUUUAAAUAUAUAUAUUUAUCAAUAUAAUUUGAUUAGAGUGAUGUAUUUUAAUAAAGUUAAUUUGAUUUCUUUUCUUAUUUGAUUUUUUCUUUGCAUUAGUUAAAAAUUAGUUUACAAAUAUAUUUUUUUUCAUUUUUAUUAGAAAUUAUAAAUUUUGCUAAAUUUGUUCGGGUAGACCCGGAUCCGGAUCCGGGACCCGCCGGACCGGCCGGAUCCGGAUCCGGAACAUAGAAUAAAAGAUCCGUCGGGUAAACGGGUCGGAUCCGGGUCCGGCAUAGUAAUUCGGGUCCGGGUCCGGAAUAAUGAAUUCCGGCCCGGACCCGGCCCGUUGACAGCCCUAAAAGGGAGUCAAUCCUCUCACUAACAAGAAAAAAAAUGGAGAUGCCUUAGAACCCUUCAUUGUAUUUGAAAGGGGAAAAAAAAAAGACUCCAUCUCAUGGGAUCUUGUAAAAUGGGGCUGUUUCGCUUGAGGAUUAUUUGUAAUUUUAUGAUUAUUUAGAAUAGUACUUUUUGAUGAUAUACAUACAUAAUAUUGACAAACGUGCGUAAUAUAAAAAAAUAAUAGAAAAGAUAUUGACAAACGUGCGUAAAAAGAAUAAAUAGAUUGUUGUCCACACCCAAUAUUUAAUAUGCGGGAUAAGCAUCACAUUACGUGUUUUUGUGGAUUCUAACCGUAUGCUUCCCGAAUUUCAUCUACCAGCAAAAUGGGCACAUUAAAGCAAAUUCUUGGGCAUUGAUGCAACCUCCAACAACCAAUCUUGUGGUUCAAAAUAAAAAUAUGUUCUUUUUUUAAUGCAACAUGGCCUCAAUAAGGGUAUUUUCGGCAUUAAGGGGGUUUUUGUUAAAUGUUUGAUCAUUCAAAGGGUGAGACCAUUAUUUGGACAAAUUACAGGGAUUGAUUGGUAAUAUGGUCAAACCUCAGGAGAGGUAAAUGUAAUUAACCCUAAUCUAUACUACAUACAUAAGACCGAUGGACUUGGUCAAGCUAUUAACUUAAUGUUUUAGGAUAAAAGUAAUGUGUAAAUCUUUACCAUACUGAUAUUGUAUAUUUGUAAAUGCUAACGAGUUUGGGUGAAUGUCAAAGUGUGUAAAAUUUAUAAUUUAAAGUCAAAUUGAAAUGAUAUGCCAUUCAUUAUAAUUCGUUAAUGUAUAUACUGUAGAAAAGAUUAAUCCAAAAAUAAAACCUCAAAAGCAUGUUAGAGUUUAUUCUUUCUUGUUUUCCUUUGGACUGAAUGAAAGAAAGGUCCCAAAAGAGAAAAGAUUUGACAUUUACCUUCAAUAUUUAUAGCAACUUAAGCGGACAUUGGUUGCAUGGAGACACAAACUGAUUAAAAUGGUAUUAUAUUUGCGUAAUAUUAUUAAAUUUUGAGACGAAAUAUACUCCUUUUCUCUCAAAUAUCAAAAUAUCUAAUAUUUCAAAACAAAAUGUAUUGAUUGCCCACAGCCAUCAGGAAUAAAAUAAUUUGGGGAAGGGGAUUGCGAUAAUCAAAGUGGCAAAAAACAAGACAGAAAUUAGCUGGUUUUCAUUAUUAAGAAAUCUAAUUGUUAUUUUUAUAUUGGUCAUUAAGGAAUACAAAAGAAAGGAUUAAAAAGAAUGUCCGAUUGACAAAAACAUAAUUUAUAACAUAGGAUUUAUCUGUAUCAAUUCCAAUCAAAUAUUGAACUUAAAAAGAAGAUUAAUUUCUUUAUACCGAAAUAGUUUUAUAUAUUAGAUGAAUAUAUUAUUUUGAUUUGUUACUUGUUUAAUUUUUAGUUGUGUGGAUUUGUAACAAACAGAUAUUUUCCAAGUCUUAUGUCUUAUUUGAAUUUAUUUUUUAAUUAUCUUUCGAAGUUAAAUACUAGUUGUAUCAUUUGAAGUUUAGUUAGUUGGCGGAUAAAAGCACAAAAACUGUACCGAAGCAUUCAUUCAGAAAACAAACAAUGGCCCAUGCAGGUCUCGAACCUGCGACCUUCGCGUUAUUAACACGACGCUCUAACCAACUGAGCUAAUAGGCCGGUGUGAUUGCUAUGGCAAAAAGUAACCAUGACAUUGGAACGGCCGUCCACAGUAUACAUUUUACAAAGUAAACUUUGGAAAUUGGGGCAUCUUUCGGGACUCGAGAAAAUUAAAUAUAGUUUAAUCUCUUCUUAUUCAGACAAAAUACCCUCCAAAAUCCAAAGUCCCUUGAGAAAUUGAACCAAAAAAAAAAAAAAAAACUGAUAUUCUGAAUUCUGAUGCUCCAACCCCAAUGUCCAAAGUAGCCGUUGGUUAGUCCGCCUCAUGCAGUUCAAAUUCGAACUCGGUCAAGGACUCUAUUUAGUAUUUUCUUCCCAUUAAUCAAAUACUACUGUACUCUACUAUUCAGUCCCAACGCCCAGCCCCUUCCUUUCCUCCAGAUAAAAAAAUCUGAUAAAGACAAGAAAGAACAGAAGAAAUGUUGAAGGCUGCCCAAUCUCCAUUAUCCGACCACCAGAUCCAACGGCCGAAAAGUGGCCGGAAGCCACUGCAGCCAAAGAAUUCUCCGGCCACUCCUGUUGUCAUCACACCCCACCAAAAACCGAAGCAAAAUGCUGCAACUGAUCGGAUUGAGGUGUCAGUGUUGGAUAAUGACUCGAACAAGGAGAAUGUGAAUCCCCUUUUUGCCACCCCGGUGAAGAAUGAAGAGUUCAGGAUCGAACAAUUCGAUUCGUCCCUGGCUGAGGAGCUGAGUGCCAUUCGCGAGAAGCUCGAGAGGUUGAGGAUAGAGAAGGAGAAGACGGAGAAGAUGCUCAGUGAGAGGGAUUUGGUUCUUGAUUUGCAGAUGAAUGAGUUGCACAAGAGAGGCGAAGCUCAGAAGAUGCUCGAAAUCGAGGUUGAUAGGCUGUAUCGAUUGAAGCAGCUCAAGUUAUCUUGCAUGGUAAGAAGGAUUUAAGGGAAAAAACAGAACAUCUUUCAAGAUUCCCUUCAUUGCGUUUUAUCUGAGUUACUUGUUAGAUUUGAUAUUUCCAGCAAUGAUGCUAAUGUAAACUGUCUGAAUUUUCUUGGGAACAGGGCAUUUCGCCAAUCCGAUCGCUGAGAAAUAAGGCAAAAGAAAAGGGCGAGGCAAGUGAUCAGUUGUUAAACUUGUUUGGUCCUUGUAACUUUAUAGAAAGGCCCGUGUCUUCUAAACCUGCGUUCUCUGUUCUUUAUUUUUCAGGGAACGAAAACUGAUUACAGGGAUGAAGUUAACCAGGAGGAAAGCCUGUGAAGCUGAGAUCAGAAAUUAAUAGAGACAUGCAACUGGCAACAUAAUAUUGCCUGCAAAUUGAAAUUUGACAGGCACGAAUUAUAUAUAUAGCUCCUUUUUAACAAUUUUUGUCUAGUGGAAGAAGCAAAAGGGGAUGUGAAAACUGAAAACUGGUGUGGCAGCUAAGUGGUGGCACAAUACAUCAUUGUAUAGUUUCUAACAGAGCUACUAUCUCUACUGUAGAGAAAGAAGGAAAACAAAAAGUUUAUCUAAUUACUGUUUAUGUUUAUUUCUCUGUGUAUUUUCUCUUUAGAUUGGCUCUCUCAACGGAGGAAAAGAAAUUAUAAUAUGUUGCAGAUUAUCAUAAAAGCUUGAUGGAAAGAUGCAGGGCCAAGAAAAGAAAAGAUUAACUGGGAUGUCAUUGACAGCAUAUUAAGUAUUAACAGAUCAAUCAACAAUCAGUACCUUUAGUUCACCUAUCUGGGCUGGAUGAGAUGUCGUUUUGUUCAAAAUAUAUCGUGUUCCAUUUGUGAGAAGCAGUUGCUUUGAUGUGCUAAUCAAGAAAUAUUGCUUCAAUUCUCUGCUUGGAUAAUUUCUUGUCUUACUAGCAGUCUAGCAUAGUUCAAUUUUGAUGUCAGAGGAUAUGUUUCCUCUCGACCGUUAUUUUCCUCCGUAUAUGAGGAAACAAUGCAAGUAGAUUGACUUAUUUCCUUACUUGAUGAUGCUAUGAUAUAAUCCUUCCUCUUUGAUAAGGAAAAGCUGAAUAACAGCGCCUGAAAUCCUCCUCUGUUUGUUCUGUAUCAUGACUUGCCAACUUCGAUUCAAGGUGCUGUUGAAUCUGGUUUCUCUUCCACUUUUAUUUCCCACAUUUAACCACCCAUGAUUUUAUUUUCCGAAAACACAGAAUAAGUAGUUUUAAUCCACAUAAAUCCUAUCUUUCCUAGUACAACUAAGGUGGGGCACUUUGGUUCCUUUUUGUUUUUGCCCCCCCUAAACUCAACAUCCUUACCAACUUAACUGAAAUGGUCAGGCAACCAACACAUAAAUUAUCCCAAGUUCUAAACAAACACGCAUGAAAUAGGAAAUCACACGCUUAAGUGCAAGUCUAGUAAAAGAGUACCAAAACGGAAAAAAAAGAAAUGAUCUUUGGAUCAUAAUCCUCUUGGGGAUGGAGAACAAAUUGAUGGAUUGCAGCUUAUAACAAGUGCUGGAGAAUUAAGGGAUAGUUCUGUGGUCGUCAGAGCACAAAUUGACCGAUUGCAGAAUGUCAUGACAAGUGCUGCAGAAUUAGGGGAUAUUUUUGUGGUCAAUGGAGCACAAAUACAUGGAUAUGAGCAGAUAACAAGUGGAGCAGGCCAUGUUUGAAUGAAGGAUCAGAUGCAAAUCAGGCAUGAAGAAGGGAUGUCUCAAUGCAAGGCAAUGAGGGAUCAAGAGGCAAAUACUGCACCUACUAAUCAAAGGGCAGAUGAUGACUUCGGAGUUGCAGAUGAAUAUUCCAAUCUCAAUCAAAAUCUUGUACUAGGAGAUGAGAUCUACUUGAUUCUCCCUCACUAUGAUCUGGAUAACGGAUGGGAACAGUCCUACUCAAUAUCCGUGCUCAUCUUUUGAUGUGGAUCCCGCUCUCUUAGCUGUGUAAUAGUCUGAUAAACCCUGGCUUCCCAAAUGAAUCAGCAUAAAAGCAAAACAAAAAAAUUGUUAAAUGGUUGUGAAGAUUUUUUUUUUUUAAUCUGUGGCAGAGUAUAGGACCAUGCUGCAAUUACUCCAUUGGACUUUUUCAGUACCCGCUUGACUUGUUGUUGGUAGAAAGUUGGAAGAUCAAACCAAUGAAUAGCUGUAGCAAUGGUCAUGACUAAAUCAUCAUUUGGUUAAUCUCAGCUAUGUGAACUUUUCCACAGAAUUGGUUUACAUAUAUAAUAUAUAUGCAGCAUAUGCAUCCUAAAAACAAAUCAUAGUAGAGAUUCGUAAAAGAAAACAAGGUAUGUCUCUAAAUAUAAACAUAUUUCAUGUACAGAACUGGUUUUCAAUGGCUAUAAAAAAGCAGAGCUGCAACUCAGGGUUGAGUUCAACAUAUCAAGUUGCAGACAAAAGUUAACAAUUUGAACAACUAGGGAUCUACACAAGUUAACAUGAUGUGCAAAAGUACUAGUAUUAGAUUAUCUCUCCUUCUUCUACUUCCCAACAUAAAUAUGUGUCUUCAGCAUCAUCUGCUGCCACGAAUUCCUCCUUCAAGUGCAAGCCAAACUGUUCUGAAUGGUGCACAGCCUUAUCGGUCUUUAAGCCUUUCAAUACCAUCAUAGCCGAUCUGUUACUUCCAUGGACAACGUAAGAGGGAGAACACUGACUUAGUUGCUCAAGUUCCUGAGAAUCAUGAGAUUGUCCUCAAAGUCAACUGUGCUUUCCAUCAUCUGCAACGCAAAAAGGGCAGCUUCCCUUUCUUUUUGCCUCAAUUCAGCUUCUUUCUUCUUUAAGUGCUGCGCUGCUGCUCUUAUUGUUUCUGCUUUAAGCUCCUCCCAUAGCGCCAUGUUAUCGUUCCAAUCUUGAUGGACAUGGACAUCAAUUUUGUCAGCUUUUGCUGUAGAGAUGAUUUCAGAAAAGCGAGGUAUUAACCUAACUGCACUUAAAGCCUUCUUCAAAACGUAUUCGUCAUCAGGAUUUGGUCGACUUUUGCUGCAGUUUUGAUCACCAAAAACACCAAAAUUCCUUCCUGCUGCUUGGUUUUACAACUACUGAUUGCACCAAUCUUCUUCUUGCAGCGUUUCCAUCUUUUUAAAGUAUCCAAUAUUCUCUUUCUUUUUCCAUCCCUUUCAUGACCAUCUAGAAACCAGAAGUACUUGAGCAACUUUUUGAUCCUUGCUCCCAUUAAUUUGCGACGUUGAUUUUCUCCCCACUGGAUUGUUCUUCUUCCCGACCAUGCCGUUCUUAGCUACUCCCAUGUGCGAUGGUAACAACAAAAACCAACCAACCCAAGAAUGAUUGUACUUCUAGAGGUCCAAAUCUCCCAAACCCAAGAAUCAAACCAGAUAGUUUUCUGAAGAAAACCAAGAUAUAACUACUUUGUUACUACUUGCUAGGGAUCAAAGAAGGAAGAAGAAACUAGUUUUGGAUGAUAUGAAUAAUGAUGAAGUUUAUCGCUCCCUUCGGGUAGUUUGCUAUUCCAAGAUCAAGGAAUGUAACCCUCGAUGAUAUGAUCACUAUGUUCUUGAUUUCGUUGCGGCCUGUAGUUUAGAGUAACAAUGAACAGAAUCCUUAAAUACUAUACGAAACCGGUUGGAUUUAGGAAAGUGGAAGAAACAGAGGAGCUCGUGUCUGGCGGCAAAUUUCAAAAAUAGCCGUCAGAUUAUGGGCUUGAGUGUUUCAGCAAAAGACCUCUCUUAUUUUGCCCUAUACAGUUUUGGCCCAUGCUCACUUUGGGCAAUUGCAAUUUCUUUCUGCUUCCAUAAACUUGACACAAUUAUACUCAAGGGUUAAUCACAUUUUAUCCCCUUAAAAGAAUACCUCAUUUCUCAAUUUAUCCCCUAACCUUUAAUUUUGCUCACUUAACCCCCUUUAGGACAAAAUUACCCUUGCAUUAUUUUAACUUUUCAUUUAUCUUGUUUGCCUUUCUUUUAUUUCUUUUGCUCUUUCUUCUUUAUUUAAUUCUUCCUCUUUCCCACAAAAAUUUUCACCUUAAUGAUUGAAAUUAAAAAAGAGGAAUUGCAGAGAUCUAUUUUCUCCUUAAAUGAUUAAAAAAAUAUUCAAAUCACUUUCCUAAAAUACAAUUUUUUUAGUCUUUCAAUUCUUUUAAUUUUGGAUUUUCCUCUUUUCUUUCUAAUUUCUCAUUUUAUUCUUAAGAAAAUAUUAUAAGAUGAAAUUGUUUUCCUUUCUUUUAUUUCUUUUUCUCUUGCUUCUCUUUUUCAUCCUUUCCAAUAAAAAUUCCAUUUCAACGAAAAUUUUUGUUUUGAGUUUGUAAUUGCAUAUUUUUAGGUGAAAGUUUAAGAGACAUCAAAAACUAAAUUUUGAUUUUUUGUAUGAUGCCACGUGUCACAAAUUUCAAUUGAUGAUUAUUAAUCAGGUCACAAUUUCAUCUUAAAAUAUUUUCUUGGGAAUAAAAUGAGAACCUAGAAAAGAAAGAGAAAAAUCCAAAAUUAAAAUAAUUAAAAGACUAAAAAAAUUGUAUUUUAGGAAAGUGAUUUGAAUAUUUUUUUAAUCAUUUAAGGAGAAUAUAGAUAUCUGCAAUUCCUCUUUUUUAAUUUCAAUCAUUAAGGUGAAGAUUUUUGUGGGAAAGAGGAAGAAUUAAAUAAAAAAGAAAGGAAAACAAGGUAAAUGGAAAGCCAAAAUAAUACAAGGGCAAUUUUGUCCUAAAGGGGGUUAAGUGAGCAAAAUUAAAGGUUAGGGGAUAAACUGAAAAAUGGAGUAUUCUUAAAGGGGAUAAAAUGUGAUUAAUCCUAUACUCAAUCCCUCAAUCUGAAAUCACUCUGGCUCUUGAGUGGGGAACUCGAAAUUUACUUGAAUGCAUCUGUCUGCAUUUCCGCUUGCUACUCAGCCGGCUUUUUAAAGGGCUAAUUAUGAAAACUCCCCGUACGAUUUAACCAGUUUGCACUUUACCUCCUAGCGUUAUUUUUUUCUCACUUUACCCCAUAAAUCAUUAGUCAACUCUAACAUUACAUAACGGAAAUGUCAAAAAGACAUUCAUACCCUAAGGGCUAACUACAGUAAAUUCUCCUAAAUUAUAGCUAUUUUGUACUUUAUUGGCUUAUAUCAUUUUUCUCUUAAUUUGUCUAUUAGUCCUUAAAACCAUUAGUCAACUCUAAUAUUUUGUAUCACUCAACAUAAACUUUUUAGAUGCAAAAAAAAAAAAAGAAAAAUUUAGUAAUUCAAAUAAAUUUUAAUAGCAUAUAAGUAUAUAUUAAAAUAACAACUCUGGAAAUUAACCAUAUUUCUCUUUUUUAGUAUUAUCAAUAAAAAAAUAUGUAUACUUCCAUAUAAAAAUGGUCUAGCUAUUAAAAAAAAGUUUAGCCAUAUGCACAUUACUAAGGAAAACUAACAAUAUGCGGAUCAUUUUUAGACUUUUAAAAAUAAUUUUCAUAUUUUAAUUUUUUAAUAAUAAAUUUUUUUUCCUACUAUUGAAUCAUACUAGCAAGAUAUUCUCAUGAAUCUAAAAAAAGUGCAAUUAUGGAAUGAAAUUUAACUAGGACCAUAUAUAUAUAAAUUAUUAUAUUUUAUUAUUGUGUUAGGAAUAUUUAUUUUUUAGAUAUUAAUUGUUCUGGAUGUUAUCAAAUAUUGGAGUUCAUUAAUGAUUUUAGUAAUAAAUAAACAAAUUGAUAAAAAAAAAGGGUUAAUUGCACUUUAUCCCCUUUAAGUAUGGGCCAUUUCUCAAUUUACCCCCUCAACAUUUGUUUUUCCUCAGUUUACCCCCUUCGUCAGUCUAGCUAAGCAAUUACACCGUUAAAAACUUCAAGAUGCCAAAAUUGCCAUUGGAAGAGAGCCGUUUGUUUUGGAUGACUAAAAUGUCCCUCAAUGAGUUAUAAAAGGGGGUGUCUAAUACUUUUUAGCCUAUUUUUUCCCUCUCAUGUUUUUAUCCAGUUGCAGCCUAUUUUUUUUCUUUCAUUUUAGCAGAUCCAACAACUCCUAAAAUUUUUCUUUGUCAACCGAAAGCAUCAUAAAAAUGUCACAAAGUGUUUCAAAUAACGUUGAAAGAUCACCCCAAAAAAUGUGUGGAUGUGGUAAAGAGGCACCAUUGUACACCUCUUGGACAUUUGAAAAUCCGGAAAGAAGAUUUUACAGCUGCUCAAAUUACAAUGUAAGAAUUGUUCAUUAAUAAUCUGUUAUUAUUGUCUUUAAUUUUGCUCUGUACAUGAAUAAGUCAGAAAGAGUUUUAGACAGCUAUAUUUUCUUUUUAUUUAGAACUAGAUGCAUGUGGGCACUUUUCAUGGGUAGAUCCUGAAGUUUUUAGCAAAGCAAAAGAAGUGCAGCGCUGCAAUCUAGACUGUUGGGGCAAAAGGAGAAACUUAUGUAUUUGUAAAGGGAUCAUGAAGAAUUGGCAAAUGAGCAUGAAAAAUUGAAAAGCAGAUAUGAAGCCUUAGCAAUAGAAGUCUAUAUAUUAAAAGCUGAAAACCAACAGCUACAGCAACAAUACAUGAUUGUCAAAGCUGCUCAAUCUUUAUCAUGGAGAAAAACACUAGCCAUUACAUUUUUGAUUGCUAGCAUUAUGUAUAUGUACUCUAUUUUUGAACCAAAAGGCAAGAAAAAUUUGUUUUAUCUAAAUAUAUAUAUAUAUAUAUAUAUAUAUAUAUAUAUAUAUAUAUAUAUAUAUAUAAAGAUUAUAUUAGGUUAAAAGCAUUUUGCACAUCAGAUUACAUCUUAGCAUAUGUCCACAUGGCCACCCAAACAAAAGCACCCAAACAAAGGCCAUUUUAGUAGAACCUAACCAAAACAUGAUAGUAGAACAUGCCCAAAUAAUGGCAAAAGCAAAAAACAUAGGCUCAUUUCUAACAUUGUUGCAAAACAAGCAAUCAAGUACUAGUAAUGACAAAAACAGUAACUUAAUUUCACUGCACUACACAUCCAGGUAUGUGCACAACUAUUGAACGUCUAGUUGCAAUUGAAGAUCCUUGGCUAGAGAACACAACUUCUCCAAAUCUAGUACUCUUGGUUUGAACCUAUAGUCAUGGAUAAGGGGUAUCUUAGUGCAUCAAACUACUACUAGGGGUAGCAUGUAAACAUGGUCAAAAGAUUUGAACUCACCAUUCUAGUUUUAGCAUCACCUGAAUUGCUUUUUGAACUUCCAGUUUUAGCAUCACCCGAAUUGGUUCAUGGUCUUUAGUUGUUGCUGUAGUUUUUGCUUUUGAACUUGUACUUGGUAAGUUGAUGGUAGCAACAGUAGUAGUUGUACUUAAAUUGGCACCAGAUGUUGGUGUUAUUGUCCACUGUAUCAUCAAUAGCAAUAAAUAAGUGAGCACGUAUAAAAUGGCCAUGCAUACAAAAUUUUAAAAUGUAGGCUUACCAGUUGGGUUGGGGGGGAUUGGCCAGUCUUUGAAGUACUUGGAAUCUGCAUAAUAAAAAUAUUCUUUAAUCAGUGCAAAUGUAACCAAUUCAAUUAUAAAUGCAAAUAAAAAAGGAACUCACUACCUUAGAGUCAAAUGGGAUAUAUGUUUUACUUGUUGAUACCCUUUGGCCAUUCCAACGUCCAAUACCACAUAGUGGGCCAGUGUUGUGAUCCGAACCCCUACCCUUACCUCUGUCUGUAUCUUUAUCUCUCAUUUUAGCUCUAGUUGGGCCUUUUACAGUAGUAGAAUUAGUUAUAUCAGCACUUCUCCUAAUACUUGGAAUCAAAACAGGCUCAACAUUAUUUCUAGAGUAGCCCCUACCAGCUCUCCAUCCUUGUUUAGUAGGUCCUUAUACCUUACAACACACCAAAAAGUGACAGUCAGAUGUAAGCAGAGAAAACCCAACAAGCAUAUAUUGAUUGAAGUUACUUGUGCAUUCGCUGGUUUCCUUUGCCUUACAAAUGAAUAGCCGGUGACCUUGAAACUUCUGGUAUUGUGGUCAGUAUGACCACAAUGAAUACAGUGAAUUGGUAGCCCUAUUUUAAACAGUUUUUCAACAUGUAAGUCCUCUAAUGGAGCCUUUCUUCUAACUUUCUUAGGUCUACCCAGGGCUAUCCUCCUAUGAGGUGGGAGUAAUGAAUAAUUGCAUGUGUUCAUCCAAUUUGCUUGGUCUGGCAUAGGCAUAAUAACUCCAGCAUAUGCCUUUUUAUAUGUUUCCACUGAGUAGUAACUAUCAACAUAUGCUUAUGGACUUUUGUUGUCUUGCAUAAGUCCAACACAUGUAUGGACACAUGGAAUUUCUAUCAUAUCCCACUCAUUGCAUGUGCAAGACCUUUGAACUGCAUAAACAACAAAAGUUCAUGCUAUACUAGUUACCUCAUAAACCUCUCUUGUAGACACAAGUGCAUCAAACUGAGCUAAUUGUUUUUUCCUCUCUUCAAUUUUCUAACAAAUUCUCGAACAAAUGUGAGACUUCACCUUCUGAAUCCAGUCUUUUUUUUCUUGAAACCUGCAUAUUAUCUGCCUUCGAAGAGCUUCAAACAUAGUCAAAACCGGCUCCUCCCUAACAUCCUUAAUGUAUUGAUUGAAAUUCUCACAUGUUAUGACUUAAAAUGUCACAUUUUACCCUUGGAGACAAGGUGAGUCUGGCCCACAGGUUAGCUAGUAUGGAACUAAGCCAUGCAUGUUCUUUUGAUGCUACUGUUUGAAACUCUCUCAUUUUGCUUUCAUAGUGACUGGGCAAAUAAGCCCUGACUAUUGCCCACAUUAUAUCUCUUAGAUGCUUAUCCUUGAAUUUUAGCUUGAAGUUAGCAUACAUGUGUCUAACACAGAAUCGAUGCUCCACUCCAGGAUUUAAUCCCUGACAUAAAAAAAUAAAUCACAUAAUUAGUGACAUGAGUGAGCAAGGAAUAAAUGAAAAUAAAAUAGAUUGCAGUGGUGCUGACCUUUUGUCUAUCUGACAAAAAUACCCAACCUCUUUCAAGUGGAGUUCCAAUGGCAUCAGUAAGGCUGUCCAAAAACCACCCCAACUAUCUUGGCACUCAGACUCAACAAGAGCAAUUGCAAUUGGGAACAUCUAGGUAAUAGCAUUCCUACCAAUUGCAGACAUAAGUUGUCCUCCCAUGAUCCCCUUAAGGUGACAUGCAUCCAGCCCUAUUACAGCCCUACAUGCAUUUACAAAACCUUCCUUUUGUGCAGUAAACAUCACAAACAUUCUUUUGAAGAUUGGGCUUUUACAAAGUUGGGAUUUUUUAGUUACAAUAAAUGCCACUCUUACAUGCUCUUUUUUCUAAGGAGUAUAGCACAAUAGUCUCUUAAUCUUGCAUACUGCUUUGCACAUGACCCUUUGACUGCUUCCUUUGCAUUCUCCUUUGCUCUAUUCAUUUGAGAGUUUGUACAAUUGAGGUUAUACUUCUUUUUUAUGCUCUUCUUGUACCCUUUUACUUUCAUACACGGAUGGUCAGCAAUCUCCUCCAUAAACAUCUUAGACAGCCACCUAGAAUUUGCACUCUUGUUCUUGUAAGACCAUGGACAUUCAUCAGGUAGGCCUUUAAUGGACUUCACUUGGAGUGUAACUUUGCUUCUAUUAUAGCCACUAGGAUAUAUUCUCCAUCGACAAUUAUUUGCACAUAUAACUAUAGCUUUAUCUUUGUCAUUCUUAGUGAAGGUAUCUUCAAAUCCAUUCAAAAUUGAAUACAUUCUAACUGCAGCUCUAAAAUCAUAAAUGUUGGUGAGAAUUCUGUCUACAGUCAACUCAGGAUUUUUUAGAUCCCUUUCCCUGUUAAACUCAGGAAAUUCAUGCUCCAUGGCUUCAUCAUUUGAAUCAUAAAUUGGUUUAAGCAUUUCAUCAUCACUAAUAUCUUCAUUAUCGACCAUUUUUCCUUUCACUUUGGAGUUAAUGUAUGUAUUAUAUUCUUCACUAAUCAGUUCCAUGUACUUAGCAUAAUCAGGUUGUUUUAGGUGACAAUCUACUUCACCAACAUCCCUCUUUACCUCAUCUAUAGGAUCACAUGCAUCAUUUAAACCAUCCCCAUUUAGGAAAAAAUCAAAGUCAGAGUCAUAUUCAAAUUCCCUACAACUAUCCCCUUCAGCUUCAUGUGAAGCAUCUGAAGUAUCACUUUCGGCCUCAUUAUUUUGGGGUUGUUCAGUAUUAGGAUUUAGAUUUUGUUCACCAUCAAUCUCAAUAUUAUCUUCUACAAUAAUUUCAUCAGUAUGCAUAUCUUCUUCAGGGAUCUCACCAACAUAAAGUUGUAUGAUAGUUUGAGUUCUAUUUGUCACAAACAUUUCUAGAACUGUUUGGUCACUGUUUAACAGUCUAAGACCAAACUGAAGGUCAAGAUUCCCAACCCUGUAAUACACUGAUGUUUCAUGUGAAAUUCCAACUUCUUUAAAAGCAUCUCUUAACUCAAAAAUUGACAUCAAAUCAGGGCCAACAUCAUCAAAAUUAGCAACUUCUCCCCCCACAUAUUGUAAAUUUGGGACAUGGGCAAAAUGGCCCCCAUAGUGAACCUCUAAAACAUAGGUUUUAAAAUCCAUUUUUUUGUAAUCACACAGAUAAAGGCAAUUGUUUAGUGCAUGCACAGGUAAUAUAAAGCAUACAUCUUUUAUUGUCCCCAUAAAAAAAAUCCUAGUUUGUCUAUUUAACAGUCGACGUAUAACCAACCAAAGUAAACAAAUAAUCCAGCAAAUUAAUAAUUAAAAAAGACAAAAGUUGCCAAAAAUCCAUCGUUUUCAUCAUAACCCGACAAUGACAAAACAACAAAACAAGGGACCACAGCAACAGAUGAUUCAAACAAUAAUUGUCUACCAUAUUAAAGGCCAUGAAGCCACUAAAAAAACCCUUACCUUGCUAUUGUUGUUUCUCUACAAUACAAUUGGUUAAAAACUAAAAGUUUCUAAGAUCAAGAAAAAAUAGCAAAGCCGAACCUUAAGGGCUGCCCUUGCUACAAUCUACUUCCAUUUCAAAUUCAAUUCUACCUCUGCUACACAAGUUCAUCGAUUGACCGAUUUUUCCAUUCAAUAUUCUGGUGAAUUUUCAAGUUCUUUAAUGGAGGUUUUGCUAAGAAUUCAGCCAAAGAAAAAAUGGCUGAUAGAGAAGAGAGAAAAGAUGACCGACAAUGACAAAAGAUAGGGAACAUUUUGUCUUACGAAUUUCUUUUUUUUUGUCCCAUGUGCCAGAUGGAGGGAAAUUUCCCUCCUCCAUUAUUCCAGGGUAAUUUUGGAAACUUGUCUUUAUCCCUUUAUAAACCUAGACAUAUGGGCAUUUUGGGUUGUUCAUUAUUUUCUUAAGGAUAUUACUGUUUUUUCAUUAUUUGGUUUAUCUCCAUUGAGGUUGACCGUUAGUCUUUAGGGUAAACUGAGGACAAACAAUGGGAGGUAAAUUGAGAAAUGACCCAUAUGUAAAGGAGAUAAAGUGCGAUUAACCUUAAAAAAAUGAUGUUAGGGGAUGAAGUGCAAAACAAGCUAUAAUUUAAGGAGAUAUGUCGUAGUUAGCUCUUAGGAGCGUAAAUGUCUUUUUGCAAUCAUCAUUACACAAUGUUAGAAUUGACUAAUGGUUUAGGGGAUAAAAUGAGAAAAAAUUAAUGUUAGGGGAUAAAGUACAAAAGUGGCCAUACCUUUGGGGGAGUUUUUGUGAUUAACCCUUUCUUAAAUCCUGUUUUGUUAAUAAGGAAAUUUUUUUUUUUAAAAAAAAAGGGUACAAGAACAGUAAGAUUUGAAAUUUGAGCCGUCCCUUGUGGUCUAGAGAGGUUGAAUUAGAUAGAAUAAAAGUCCGAAAGGGAUCACUGGCUAGAAAACAAAAAUUGUUUUCAUAAGAAAAAAAUUAUGUGGUGCCUUCAAACUAGCAUUUCCUCAAUUUGUGUAUUUAGAUGAUAAAAAUAGUUCAUCUAUUAGUAUUAGAAAUUGUUACAAUCUAGGGCCAAAAAUACUUCUUGGUAUAUUUAACAAUGAAUUUAAUUUGAAGGUACGAUACUCAAAAGUGAUGAUAGAAUCACCCUACUUUUGAUAGCACAAUUGCUCCUUCUUUGGUUGAGUAAAAUCCUUGGUCUGCACAGGCUAGAUACUGAAAAAGAGAGGAGACUUUUACUAGAAAUUUAGGAGUUAUAAAUUUGAGUGGAACUUUGACAUGGUUUUCACAAACUCCUAGUCUAGUUUUAUGGUCAUUGCUUUUAUGGAUAAUGUAGAGUCUAGAUCCAGAUUCCCGAGAUCUUUCAAGAUCGGCUAAUCUCAAUGCGAGUUUCCUGCAUAGUAAGCAAUAAAGAUAGGACUGGUUCUCCGGUUCAAUUCUGAUACUUAAGUUAGCGAGUGUUUACAAUUCGAAAAUAUAAAAUCAAUUCGAAGGUUUGGUAGUAGUUAACUUUGGAAAUGAAGUAGAGGGGAUAUUUAGAAUAGAGCUGGGGAACACCCUUAGGACAAGAGCUAUUGUGAUAGGACCAUAGUUAUCAAUCCGGCCCGGCCUGACGGUUUAACCGAUUAACCCGAUGAACCGGCCAUGAAAUCGGGCUGGGUUGUUAAUUGGAUCGUUUGUGCAAGAAACCAGUUGACUUGUCAACGGACCGGCAAUUCAACCGAUCAAUUUGGUUGAACCAAACGGUUUUGUAAGAUUCCAGUUGUUGUGUUAAAAAUUUUUAGAAGAUGUUGCACUAGAGAACUGGAGAAUUAAAAAUUUUUAGAAGAUGUUGCACUGGAGAAUCGAAUCUUGGACUUCAACCACAAGAAUGAAACGCGCUCACCACUGAACCAGCAAGUCAUUGGGUUCUUGUUUAGCCCUUCUAUAUUAUAUAUUACACCUUUAUUCUUAUUUUAUUUCUUCAAAACAAAAUUUGUUUAGAAUCAUUUAAUAAAAUUUUAUUAUUCCCCAAAUUCUAUAAGUUAUGAAUGAAUUUAAAAUAGCAUAUUACACAAUUCAUUUUAAAGACAAAUAUUAUUCUUAAUAACUUUUUGCACUUUAAAUUCGUAAAUAAACUAGAUAACUACACUUAGAUAAAAUGUUAUACUUGAAAUUUGGUGGAUUACUAAUUAAAUUUAGAUUUUGUUAAUUCUUAUAAGAAUUAAUGAUUUUAUAAUAAAUUGGACUAACUGAGUAUUUACCAUGACAUAGUUUAUUAUAGUUUCAACCAUAUUAAAAAUUAUAAAAUAUAAUAUUUAAGUAUAUUUAGUGACCCACUGGUUGGACCACUCACCCACUAGUUGAACCAGUAACCCGUUGAUCCACUUCUUUUACCGGGUUCCUCCUCGGGUCGGGUUUAAUAACUAUGGAUAGAACAGAGUGUAGCGAUAGGUCGGUUCUAGGUCUAUUAUAGCAGGAGGAUAGACUUGUCAUAGUCUAUAAAGUGUCAUGUCAAUCACUUCUUGUCAGAGAAAUACUCGACGGCCAAAACCUCAGCUAUAAGUAUAUUUCACCAGACAGAGGGUUCAAGGAAGGGGGAGUUAUCUCGGAAGAUAAUCCCAAUUACUACAGAUACUGGCAUUUAUAAUAUGCCACUCUAAGGGUUCGUUUGGGAGUGGAAGAUUUGGAUAGAAAAGAAAGGGAAAGAAGAGAAAGUUUACUUUUGCUUCAUUUGUUAGUUUUAAAUAGAAAAGAAAAGAAAAGAAAUGGAAAGAUGAAUAGUUAAGAAAAUGCUUCCUCCCAAAUCGGAAAGAAAUGGGAAGAAAGUUUGGAGAAAGCUUGAUAUUUUUUUUAAAAUGCCUAUUUUGUCCAUAAAAAGGUUUUGAUAAAUAUUUAAUGACUUUUAUGUCCAAAAUCAUUCCACUAAUUCUCAAAACUCCCAAACAACAUAACAAUCUCUUCCCUUCUCUUCUCUUCUUUCGUAACUUAAGCUUUCCCUUCUUUUCUUUUCUAUCCUAAACUCCCAAACUAAGCCUAAGUCUUUACUUAGCAGAUAAUGAAGGAAAUUAUGUUCCAUUCAACUGUAAUUGCAACUUCAUAGGCUUUGCUUUCCAUCAACUCGUAUUGGUACCGUCAGGCUUUGCUUAGCAAACAAUGAAGAUUCUCUUCUUGCUUUGUUUUUCCCCUUAAUACUUUAUGGUCUUGUUCUCGGUUGCUUUAUAUAUUAUAUCACUUAAUUAUGGAAACUAAUUAUACAGCAAAAUCAAAAUCAGCAAAAGCUACUCUUUGGGUGAUUUUGGAAUUAACCUUUUUUAGUAAUUAAAAAAUUUAUAAUCAAAACACAAAAAAUAUCACAAAAAUCGAUUAUCUAAAAACAGAAUCUAUAUUCAGUUAAAACAAUCAAUCGAAAACAGAUCCUAUGUUAUCUAAUCAUGGGUGAUUUUCGAAUUAACCAUUUUUAGUAAUUAAAAAAUUUAUAAUCAAAAUACAAAAGUAACUAAAAAUAUCACAAAAACUUAUUACCUAAAAACAGAAUCUAUAAUCAAUUAAAAUAAUCAAUCGAGAAUAGACCCUAUGUCAUCUAAUCUGUUCCAGGUAUCCUGUAUCGAUUUUUAUUGGUGACAAAUUUACAUACUUUGUUCGAAUGACAAUGGAUGGCAGUCGUUGGCAUUUUGGGCCAUUUUAGGUACAUAAUUUCAUUCAUCCGGCCAUGCUAACAAUACAAAGCAGUUUGAGCAACAAAAUCGCUUUUAGUUAAUAUUUCAAAGUCUGGAACUCUACACAUGAUUUUGCUUACUAUUUCAUGAAUCCGAAUUAAUUGAGUAAAUCAUCAAGAUUUUCAACUUUGACGGAAUUGAAAAUUGAAGUCAGUUUGUUGCUUGUACUUUUGAAGGAACAGGAGGGUAUGGAUUUUCCUGAACUUCGAGGGCUUACAUAUAACGAUACACAGAUGGAACUUGGGAAGCUUUGAAUUCUUGAACUAUUCAUUCCUCUACCAACUGAAUCGAUCUAAAAUUCACCACAUUAGAAAAUCAAUCGUCUCUUUUGAUUGGCUAACAAGAUAUUAUAUGCUGGUUUACAAAAGAAAAUGAAUAGGUAAACCGCCUAUAACAAAGGCAAAAUUUAUUACAAAGGGAAACACAAUAACAUUACAAAGAACAGGAAAAACAAAUCUCUUUUCCAGAGUUAUUGCAAAACGCAAGCUAAUAGACUAGUACUGCAUCCAAUUAGUAAAAAAGAACGUGUCAUGCAUUAGAGAGAACCUUUCAGAGCUUUCUUUCCAGUUAGUCAUCCAAUACUACUGGUUCCCAACUUUCCCGAUCCUCAUAUAAACAGGCCAAGUAGCAAUCUUUUCUUGUUUGCCAUCUUCAUUCCAAGCAAGGGUAAAAUCUUUCACCAAAUCUUCACCCAAGAGCUCAACCCCAUUUUCUUUUGCAGCUUGGUAUGCAGACCAUGAUUUUAUCAAAGUAAAAUACCCAUCCAAAUCGAUCAAUUUUUCCAUUUUAAGCUCAAGUGGCCCUGUGUUUUCAAGUCCAUCCACUGGCUCAAAUGGGAAGUCAAUGGUCCUGUAAUUUUCCUCCAUUAUCAACUUGGCCGGUGGCCCCCCAAAUGGAGCAGCACCAACGUAAUACAAUUUAGUUAAAAGGGUGUCAAGAUUUUUGUUGAUCCGUGGCAGAGUAUAGGACCAUGCUGCAAUUACUCCAUUGGGCUUUUUCAGAACGCACUUGACUUGUUGGUAGAAAGAUGGAAGAUCAAACCAAUGAAUAGCCGUAGCAAUGGUCACUAGAUCAACACUUGAUUCUGCUGCAAUACUUUGCUUAAGCUCAGCUAUAGACAUCUUCGGAGAGGUGCAAUGGUAUUUAAUAUUUGGAAGCUUCACAGCAUGUUCCAGUUGCGUUGGGCUUGUAUCUGUGGCUACCACAUUCUUGUAUAUCCUGGCCAACUGAUAAAAAUUCACCAAUAUUAUUCAAAGCCACAUUCACAUGAUUAAAGUUUUGUUCACAAAUUUGGGAAUUAUUACCUUAGAAAUUAGUUUACCAUAUCAGUUCAUAUUUCAUAUGGUUCUAUAAUCCCAUCAGACAAAACCUUCAAAUUGAGCUUUCAAGAAGGUAACCGGGAGGACCACUUUAGGGGAAUUUGUCUACUUCUAAAAUUGAGUUUUCCAGAAUCAUGCCCAUCAACAAUGAGGUAUCUAUUGAAAUUCAACAAAAUUUUUUCCCUAAAACAAUAGGUUGAACUGGUGAAAUGCCGUAAGAAUCUAAAAAAAAAAAAUUAUCAGUGAGUCCAAAUAACAAAAUCUCUAACAUAUGAAAUUUGUUUAAAAACUUGGGAAUCCUUGAAGCCAUGAGGCUAAUUCUCGUACACAAAUUAGAAAUAAGGGGAGGAAAGUGGUCUUACAGAUGUUGCAGCCUGGCCACUUCCUGUCCCAGCAUCCCAGACAAGGUCGUGACAAGGUGUCUUGGAGGCAACAAACUGGAAGAGCUCCUCAGGAUAUAUCGGCCGGCUGGCAGAGUACUCCUUCGCCUGCUUAACAAACCGCUCUGCCAUCUCUGUGGAUCGGUGGUGGGGGGUUAACUUAUAUGCAAAUGCUAGUAUUCUUUUGCUGUCUGAUGAGUGAGAUGAGUUGCAAGCCUCUGUGGCCCUUUUAUAGUGGCAAACGCUAGAUUCGGACUUGCUUAACCGCGUGUUGAUCUUUGAAUUUGAUUGGCCUAACCAAUUGGUUUAUGUUCUUCAGGUGCCAUCGCUAUCCAAAAUAGUCGUACGAAGCAGUUGGAGGUCAAAGGGUACUAAAACGAAGCAAAGUUCGCUUAGGCAACCUUCGAGCUGACUUGACCACCACAGAGGCAAGUGGAACGUCAUGGUUCAAAAUUUUAUCUUUAAUGACUGUUAUUUAAUGUGACUUUUUCUUUUCUUUUUUUUUUUUUUAUAACAAUGUGACUUUUUCUUAGACCUAGCCAAAUAGGAAAUGAAGGUUUCAAAUCUUGCAUCUUGAAAUUGCUACUUAACGUGGCUUUUUUUUUUAAGAUGCAUAAUACAUUAAUUUUAUUCGGUGGUAAUUUAAUCCCUUUCAAGUAUCUGAUAAUUGAUUUAAAAUUUUUCUUUGAACUAUAGGUUGGGGAUUUCAAACCUCAAACAAGUUGGCCACUACAAGGAAUUUAAAAUCCCUCUUUGGAUUAUGAGUCGAGGAGGAUUCAAACCCUGCACUCUACAAUUGAAUAAAUUCAAUGAGUGUGGUAGAGUUGGGAUAGUGUAGAUGUUGCCGGUUGACUAAGAAAAAAAAAAUAGGCAAUUAAAAGUGUAAUAAUUAAUUUUUUGACUGAUAGAAAUAUUUCCAAAAAAAAAAAUUGUCAAACCCACUAAUUUCAUAAUAAAUAGCAGUAACAAUCUAAAUAAAACUAACUGCUAAUGGACCUUAUUGUCAAUUGCGAGCAUUAGUAAGGUUAGACUUGAAUGUUAGGAUGCAAGUUUAGUGGAAGUGGUAAUUAAAAGGUCUCAAGGCACCUGGUAGGUCAAAGUCAUGGCGGCUCUUUGUCUGUAUCCUAAAGUUUUCCGCGUGAACAAGUCACUGCUGUUUCUGUGAUUGCAAAGAACUCUUCACAACCCUUUUUUCUUUUUUUUUUUGGAUAGAAAGAGCGAAACAUUUUAUUAAUAUCAAACUAAAUCUGCUUCAAGAACAGAGAUAAUAAAACAAGGUGGAGAGUCAGUCCACAUACAAUAAUCUGGGAUUGAUAAUGCAUACUUAGCUAAAAGGCGAGCAACCUUACUGUUAUUUCUAAGAGCCCAAGAAAUCUCCCAAGCCAAGAAAUUGUGCAAGCAAAAAAAAUGACGUCUUCAAUAAGAAUACCAGAGUGAGAAUCAUCGGGUUCAAAGUUUUCAGUCAUCUUGAUCACAACUUAUGUUAGGUAUCACAGAUUUAGGAUUUCUGUUAGUACUCAUAGUGAGACCUAUGCAGUUUAAAUGAGGUACAGAGAAAUGGACAAGUGGUUAUUUACAGACAAAACAUUCUUUUACUCUCUUGAUUGCUGCUGUAUUAUAUGCCAAAAUGCUGUCCUUCUUAUGUAUGUAUAAUAAUGCAUCACAACACAUGAUAUCAUAAAAAUGCCAAAAUAAAUAAUCCCACAAAAUUUUCCAAAUAGUCUUUGCUCCGAAUGAACCCAAUAUGGCCUCUACAAUACACAAGGUAAGGUGGCAUUGCCAUGUUUAUAACAUUCUAGCAAAUUAUUAUUUGCUGCAAACCCAGAAACACGAGCCAAACUUGAAUCAGAUUCAAAAGCAAAAGAUUAGUAACACAGUAAACAAGACAGAAUAAAGCCUCACUUAAGAGGAAGAUGUUGAAUUGUCUGCCAAAAACUUCGAACAUGGCGAAUUGGAUAAUCAUGAAGCAUACACAAUUUCAUUGCAGUAAAGAUUUCUUUACUUUCAUACUGUGCAUCUUUCUAAUCAUUUGACAUGAAUUAUCUCCAUUCAAUCACAGCUUCUCCCAUAAUACGAUUAAAAACACCUUUACAGAACAAAACAGCAGUCCUUUCCCUCUAUUUAAAAACAAAUAGAACUUAAUAAGCAAUUACUUUGGGAACAUACACAUAAAAGUCACCCGCUAGAAGCCAGGGCAGACUGCAAGACUUCUUCAAGGUACUUCUCGGCGGCAGCAUAUUGCCUCUUUUUAUCCUCAAUAGCUAAUACAGCCAAUGCUUUAUCCUGUGAAAAAAUAAUCAAAACGUAAGAGGAGAACGCAUAAUUGCAACUAUAUAAAAUCAUUAGAUAAAAAGAUGAGCUUACAGGCGGCAAGUCUUGAUAGCUUCUCAAGGUGUCAAGUAUAGGUUUUGUUUUUCUCUCCAAUUCCUUUCUAUGCUCUGCCAUUUCGGCCAAAACUCCAUGACUUAUCUCUGGACUGUAUCCCACACGAUUGAGCAUCGCCUGCAUUACAAAUGUAAAAUUCUAAGAUAAAAGUACCACCUGCACAAAAUCCUAUGAUUUGGUCAAGUCUCUGGUCUGGUGCUUAGUCGUACUUACAAGGUUACUUUUAUUGGUAGGUGAGAAUAAGAAAUCACUCAAAGAAGGCAAAGAAGAACUAAGAGAAAGCAAAAUUAGCAUAUAUUUUCCAUUUAUAUUAUUUACUGUUGGACAACUAGGAAGGAUGCAACUUCAAAACAGAACCAAAUCCAAAGAUGAUGUUCGUUAUCUCAAUAACACAUGAAACCUCAGAAGGACAUAUACCAAAUUCUCAAAGGCAAAAUUUACAAACAAUGACACAUAUAAUAUGAAACAUUACAGAUAAUAGUUUGACCAAAACACCGUAAACUUGUGUAUCUUUUGGUUCUAACACCUUUGAGUAAGAGCAAGAAACUGGUAUUUCAUACCAGUUAACGAUAAAUUACACUAACACCUAAAAUGUAUCAACUUAUCAGCACUCACUUGCCUAUAGAGUAUGCCUUGACUACAGUUCAUAUCAAUGAGGAAAAAGGAACAGAACAAAGAGUACUAAAAUCAGCAAUAUUUUCCACAUUAAUGCACCUAAAGAAACAUGUCUAAACCUACAGUUCAAGCACAAAUCAUGAAUCAACUGAAUAUAGCCUACCUCAACUAUAUGGUUGCAGGUCACUCAACACUAAAAGCCAAUGCAGUUGAUCUUAUGCUACAGAAGUAAAGUAUUGAGAUGACAUGUGUCAGCUUAGCAUAAACAAAUACCUAAAAGGCCCUAUAAGAUUAAGCAAAAAGAUCUGUUUCUUACACAUCUUAAAAGAAGAUUUAGAUUUUAACAUGAAGAAAAUAUCUUUUUGCUUCCUGAAACUUUCAGUUUAAUUUGCAAGAACUCAUGAAAUUAAAGACUAUGAUACAAUAACUGUUGACAAAAACACGUAGAAAUAUUAUAAAUCAGUUAUGUAGGUUAAAGCAAAACACAAGUAUUCAUUUUGGUUACCAGACAGUUGCAACAUUUAAAUUAGUGUUACCUGAAGCUUCCAAGGCCAAGAAGGCCACCUUUCCAUGAGAGGAUUGUCACCUAAAUAUGUCAUAUGGUUCUUACCAUAUCCUCUCCUAUCAUCAAUAACGGCUUUAUAGUAAAUCCCUGGCCAUCAUUUAUCUCUUGUUCCUUUAGAGUUCUUCACUUGGAAGGAUAACGAAACUACUACAGAAGCUUUAGAUUUAGGCAAAGACUGUCAAAUAAACUAUUUACUUUUACUCAUCUAACAGCUUGAAAAGAAGAUUUAACAAAGAAGACAGAAUCUAAUGCUAACAGCUAACUACUCGUACCAACCCCAAGCUCCAAAUCAAAGCAGCCAAGUAAUAUCAGACAUUAUCUACCAACGUUAGCAGCCAUUACCACAAAACUUGUUGAAAAUCAACAAGACGCCCUCUCUUACUAUGAAAACAGACAGGAUUGGCACUUUAUCCUCAAAAAUUCUGAAAUUCUUAGGUCAACUACACCUGAUGCCAUACCAAAACCUUAACAGAUUCCAUCUCCCACCCAAUAGAAGGCUAUUCAUCUUAUCAUCUCCCAUUUCUUUUCACUGCUCUACCAAACAGCACUGAUUAUUUGCCUCUUUUAAUUGAAUAUGCCAGAGUAAUUUAUAUGCUAAGAGCAAAUCCUUGGAACAUGGAAACAAUUACAUCAUAACCCUAAGAAAUAUCAAGCAAAAGUUUUCCAAGCAGAAAAUCAGAAAUAUCCUGCUCUAUACACAACAAAUUCCAAGAAUUUUGAUCCUGAAAAAACUGUGAAUCUCAUCUAACCCAUAAUCCACAUAACUUCUAUGCACCUUUUUAACCAAUUUACAUUCUGUCCCCCAACGAAGACUACAAACUUAUAAGACCAAUAUAAAGCACACUAAGAAUCAUUUAAAUAUGCUGAUCAAAGAAGGUAACAGUGUUUGGUGCCCUGUAUCCACUCUUACUUUCUGGAAAGAUAUACAACUAUAAUUCAAGCAGCUCCCUGAUUCCCCUUCUACAAAAGGCUAAGAGCGUUUCACCAGAAUUAUUCAAUAUCAUCUCAAAAUGCACCAGUAAGCCCAAAGUUCUGGAUUCCAGCAGGUAUCAAACACUCACCCAUUUUAGCUUCUUGCACAUCAUUUAAGUGAUUUUUGACACCAAAUGACAAGCAUGUAAACUAAGCAAAACACCUAGUAGGGGUGUGCAAGAAGCUAAAAAGGCUGUGAGAAUUUCAUUGCCCCUUAAUUUAUAGCUAAAAUUUCAAAAAUCCCACUGCAUCGACCCUAAACUCGUUUUCCAAUUUCACGUGAUUUAAAAAGUACAGACAAGAUUAGGAAAAGAGGUAUUCGUACAAAAAUAAUUAAAAAGCAAAAUACAUGCUGGCGUUAUUCCGAAUAUAGAGGCUUUGUACACAAAGUAGGAUUAACCAAAAUAUCAGCUGCCAUUCCACAGAGAUAUAGCUCGCCAACCGCCAUUGAAAAUUUUUGUGACAUCCAGCAAAUAGAUACAUUAAUAAAUAAAAAGGAAAUUAGAAAAUGCAGUCUCAUAAGCCAGGUAGAAACCACAUUGGAAAAGCAUCACAUAAUCAUCUCAUCUAUUAACCAUAAAAGAAAACUUAUCUAACAUUUAGAAAUGGUAAAGUUCCCUAAAGAAGAUACUACCUUGCAGUUAGAAAACUGUUUCUCAUACUGGCGCUCUUUCGAGUCCAUAAUAGCCAAAUUUGUUCUGCGACUUUCCAUUUCUGCUUCACAGGGAGCUAUAUCGUCUUCCAGUUGUGCAAGUAUUCUACAAACAAACACAGGAUUAGGAAUGUACAAAUUGACCACAAAGCUCAACAUUGACUAUUGCUCCUAGAGAAAAUCCAAGCAAAGGAACCUAAAUUUUGUCCAGAUGGUGCAUAAGAAGAUAUACCUUUUUAAAUAAGUCAACCUUGAGAUUGCCUUGCGAGUAAAAUCGAGGAGUACUUUUGACUCCUGCUGCACUUUAGACCUCUUCUCUUCUACAGCAGUUUUCCUUAAGGAAAGAUCUGCCAUUGCUACAAGGAAACUAAAAUUUCCCCCACAAGAUAAGCUCAUUGGCACUUAAAAUGGAAUACAUAAUUGAAUUAAAUUGGGAAAAAAAAACUCACCUACUUAAUUCAGUAUCUCUGAUAUUCAGUAAAUUAGCUACACUGGCAAGAACUUGUGCAGAGGACACCACAUUUGAUGGUAAACUCUCUUGAGCCAAACCCACAUGCUCCAAUAUCUCUCGUAUCCUCGCAGCUACAAUCACAGAACAAUAAACAUUAGAGCCAAUAAAAUGAAACAACGUCCCAAAGACUAAUGCAGCCAUUUUCCUUCUAUUUCUGACUGUGAAGGUCAGUAAACAAUACUUCCUAUUACAAGCAUGGCUGCACACAGUUAAACAUCAUCGUUAAAUUAACAACACUGGUUUAUAAUAUGAUAUCUAAAACUACAAGAACACAAAAUUUACUGUAAUUAUAUAUAAACAUGGAAUAGAAAUUUAAGAAAUUAAAUGAAGGCAUAACAAAAGCAUAUGUCGAAGAAUCAAGGACCUUGGGCGCGAUAUUCAGUUGCUUUCUGGCGAAAGUCAUUGGCAACAAUAGAAGCAGCUUGAGUUUUGGCUUGGGAAAUGGUGGCAAUGUUGUGCAAAUGAGCAAUGCUUCUAGGGGUGUACUCAAAUUCAGGGACUUCUUUUCCAACUGCACUGAAUUGGGAUUCAAGCCAUGAUUUCACUUCAGCAAUUCGAUUCGCAUCGAACCCACUACUGCUAUUCUUUGAUGCUUCUGAUGUAACAGAGGGCGAAGGAUCUCCUCCACCAACAAUUUCACUCAUUUCUCUUCUUUUUCCCCUCAGACCUAUAAGAACAAAAUAAAAUUAACAAAUUAGAAAUCAGAGAAAUCAAGAUCGGAAAUUUAUGGGACAAAUAGCUGUUUAAAAGUUAAGAUGCAAAAACCCAUUUUUGGGAUUAGUUAUCUGAAAUGCUUUUUCCCAAAAAAAAAAAAGAAAAAACCAUGUUUUAACUUUUGAAUUACUAUGGAACAACCACAUUAUACGAUCUAACAUAUCAAAAAAAAAAAAAAAGAAGUAAGUACUAAUGCUGUUGAAUUCCUUAAGCAGGGACUUUGAGUCAGUAACAAAUGACUAAUCAAAGAAAAAAAAUUCAUGAGAAGAGGCCAACUAUGGGGAAAUGAGGUGGACUUGGAAGGUUACUUUUGAGGUUUUCUCAAAUGGGUCCGGGAAAUUUUGAGUAAAAAUGAAGUUUUUAAGAUGAAAUUUGGGUUCUUAAUCAUAUGAACCCCAAAUAUACAUAAAGUUACUGACCAAAAGAAAAUCUGCACACAUUUGCAGAGACAGAGAGAGGGAGAGAGCGAGAGGGAGAGGGAGCGACUUGAUGAAGAAGUCUAUUGAGUGGAUUUGAAGUGAGAAAUGCCGGCUUCAGAGAUUAUUUUAAACGGCUUUUCACAGAGCACAACCUUUGCUUUUGAGAAAAUUGCUGAAAUAGUCUCUGAUUUUUUUGAAAAAUCAGACUUUGGUCUUGAAUCCAUAAAACGUAUUUUAUCACGAAUUUUGUUUCUUUUUUUUAGGUAUUAUCUUCAAAUUUUAUGCCAAGCUAUUUUCAUAACAGUGGAAGAGAGUUGUACGCUUGUCCUAUCUAUAAUUUGAAGAAUUUUUCAAAAUAUUUGUAUUUUACGUUCCGAACAAGUUAUUUUUAUAGUCAGUUACAUUUAUAUUAUUAUAUGGUGUUUGUUAAGAUAGACUAAUACAAAAUUACUUUUAUUAUUACAAUUUAGGGCGAUAAUUAAACUUUUUAUUUUCUUUUUAAGAACAAAGAGUGAUUGCUAGCUUUCAAAUCAAGAAAUUUAACUCUUUUAUCCUUCUUUUUUUUUUAGCUAAGACCAUAGACCAAUGAGCUUUAAUUCUUAAUCACAAGUUAGUCCAACCAAUUGUUAAAAAUCUCUAACAUUAAUCAUCUCCAAGGAUUAGCAAAGCAUUAUUGGUUUGUCCAGUUCAUUAUUGAAGGAUAGAUUUUCCCGUUAACGUCAUUCUUUAAUUUAACAGCUCAAAAGCCUUAGUGAAGCUAGUACUGGUUUGUUCAGUUCUUAUUGUAAAUCUGUAUGAAAAAUGUUGCCAGUUUGUAGUUACAUGUACAACAACAGAUAAGGCCGUUGGACGUGUGGAAACAAAUUAGGCUCAUGGGAGAUACAUUACAGAUUAGGCCGUUGGACUGGUUUGAGGCAGCUCCUAACCAGGCAUAAUUUUGCAGACUUUCAUCUUGGAGCAACAAUCCUCACAUUUCGCCUCUGAACUGUCCUGCAGAAAAAUUGAAAUUGUGUACUGCAUGGCCGUUUUCGCUAAGACUUCUGAUAAAAGAUUUUGAUCACCAUUAACAAGAUCAAAUACUUCGAUACCUUUCAAUCUCAUAAACAAUACAAGGAACUUCCAUAUGAAUCUUCCCAGUCCAAAUAUAACCUAGCAACAACAUGCUCAAAUCAGCCUUUACUAACCAGCUAAUAGUUAACAGAAAGAUAUCGCCAUCCAGUUAAAUCGCCUGAUGGAAGUAAAGGAAUGGAUAUAAAAAAGAAAAAAGCAGCAAAAGCAAAUAGAACAAUCCAUAGUUAAAAGAAAGAGAGAGAGAGAGAGAGGAAUCUGCAAUUAAAACAUUAACAGUACAUAAGAGUUGAUAAACUUUCUGCAGCACUUAGAAGAAUUUACAGGACUAUUACAGUAAUAUUUAGCAGUCUACAGAUAGCAUCUCUACAAACAUUCAGGGCAAGAUUGAGCUCAACAUCUAUGAUCACCAAACACAUCUGUAGGUAACGUGCGUCUCAGUGAUCUCGUUAUUGUAGGUAACCUUCAACACCUGCCCCUUUUCAAGUCCAUAGUAUCGAGCGAUUGCAUCUUUUUGCAACAUCCGCGGGAGCUGAAAAAUGGUUUAGUGGAUAUGUCAGAGAAAUUCCGAUUUAAGAAUGAAAUAACAGCUGCCUCAGAUUUUUUUUUUUUUUGGUUUUUUUGGGGGGGUGGGGGUGGGGGAAGAUGAAGCUGCCUCAGGUGAAAUCUCAGACAAAAACUUCACAUUGGAAGUAUUUUUAACGUUUUCAGAAAGCAUAUACAACUAGUCCGGGAAUCGAAAAUCUUGUCUGAGGAAAGAAGAAAUGAAUAUCAGAUGUUAUGAACCAUAUGCCCUUUGAAAAGAUUGGAAUAUUUCAAUAAGAGUACUUAAUAAAGAAGCAGAUGCUGAUAAAAGAAUAGGCAGAAAACCAAAUAAAGAUCCACAAAAUGAUAAAAAGUGGAGAAUAAUAAACAACUUAGAUGUAUGGAAAGAUACAAACAUUGUCUCCAGAGAAGCUCUCAGAAAAUGUGACUUGGGGAUCAAUAAAUCUUAUCAAUCAAAUAUGUAUGAGCAGAAUCAGCAUUUCUAGGUUGAUGACGAAGUACAUCAUUUAUUCAGAAUGAACAUCAAGAUAAGUCAACCAGAUAAUUUUACAAAUUAGAACCCGGGGGUACAUUAAUACCAAGAAACAUUGGUUUCUCACUAUACCAUCAAAGAACUUGAAAGGUUGCAGCACAUUUCUGAAACUUUAAGAAAAUGUUGCUGCCACAACAUGCUGCAAGAACCAUGUUCUGCACCUAGAGAUGUAAAACUAUAAGAAAACAAAUUCUAUAUCACUUCCAUAAUAACACCAACCUGUUUGUCCUCUAUGUUAUACUUCUCAAGAAGCCUUUGUUUCUCUUCUUCAGUUAGCAGUUGAUGCUUUGGCUUCAAAACGUGCUUGGUGACAUUGACAAGCAAGUCAGUAAUCUGAGGCAUGGCAAGAUAUUAGCCGCAUGACAUGGAUUAUUAGUCAAAAAUCAUAAUACAUAUUCAAAUCAUUGAGUAAAUGAGGCUUCCACUUUGAUCAACGUCUUGCUUUGUCUGGGACUCUUGGGAGAUGAAAGAAGCACAUUUAAGUGUAUCUUGUAUUGUUUUCAAAUAACCAACUUAGCUUUUUGCAAGAACAUCUGGUCAUAGGAGAGUGUCAGUUCUAGAUAUCAAUAUAAGAAAGCAGUGGCCACUGAAAUAUCUCCCUCUUUAUCAUCUUGGAAAGUCAUUCACACCAAAACAAAGUAACAUUCAACUCUAAGAAGUUUUAAAUACUUUUCCCAAUUAUAGCUAUUAACAAUGCUAGAAUAGAGUAUGCAAGACUCGCACAUAUAAAUAAGCUUACCCAACAAGUUCGAUUUUUGACUAUACCUGGUUGGGUCCGUUCAAAUAGAGUUGUUGGCUUCAGAACAAAGAGACAGGUAGAGGAUGAAAACGAAGAACUGACAACAGCCCUAAUAAUUUAAAAGCCCAAUUAUUUUGGAAAAAAAACAUUCAGGAACAAAUACAAGGGUUGCCGAAUUCUUUGAUGCACUUUCUAAAAUCACAAAAAGGGAGUGACAUAUAUUACUCACUGCUCUAUCAGAGGCUUAGAGUUGAAAAAAUGGUUGCAGACGACAAAGAGAGCAUGGAGGAAACUGGAAUUAUAGGCAAGUACCAAAUAGAGUAGCAAGUAAUAAAGACUGGAAGAUGAUUGCAAUGCAAAGUUGUAGUGGCUAUAGCAUGCUGAUUCAUUGGCACAAGCAACUUUCACGAUAUGAAUGCACGGUCUGUUUCUUUUUCUUUUUCCCUCUCCAAGCCUGUAUAUUCCAAUUUUUAUCCACAAAAUCCAAACUCACCUUACACCAAAUGAAUGACAAAAUCAUGUAUAGUCUUAAAACAGCUUUGAACAUGCUUAGAGCUUCCUUGAGUAAUUAGUACAUUCUAACGUAAAAUGGAAAAGUAUCAUAAAUCACAUGGAAAGCAUAAACCUCCAAGUGCUCUAAAUUUUUUUGCUGGAAAGUUCCUUCAUUUCACAGGUUCCUUGAGGAGAGGGUACGCAAGCAUAUUGACAGCAGCAGCUCAAAGGCCAAGCAUUCCCAAAUACCAAUAUAUUCAAACAUAAAUGGUAAAUGCAAACAGUGAAAAGAAGGCAACCAACCUGGAAAAUCUCAACUUUGAAAGGCAAGAGAUCCACAGCUUUCAUAGCCUGGCUGGUUAUGUGAUUUUGCACAAUUAGUAUCAGCCUACUUAGAGUGUCUUUGUUCAUGAUUUGGUUUGCAAUACCACGAAUUACAUUUACUUUCACCACAUUAGGCCCACAGAAAAGGACUAGAAUCUGCAUUCAAGAAUUCAAAGAUCUCAAUAGGUAUCCCAAUUUGAUGAUGGUACAUAAUUUCUAAAUAUAAAAGAAGCAGACAACAUUCGACCAAAUAAUAAUCUUAACUUCAGCAUCUUAAAUCUAUAAAGAAACCAGAGGCAGUGCUGUUUAAGGGCAUAUUCAAGAAUUUGUCCAAGGCAUGUCAAGAAAAGGGGAGUACACUUCUACUUCUCCCAAUCUUGACCUAUCAUCAAAUGCAGAAUAGCCAAAUCAGAAAGAGAUAGACACACACACAUGGAACCACAUUAUCCCUCCUAUUUCAGUUCCUAAGAGGCUUGAAGAUUGAGCAUAUAAAACGUGAAGAGCUAAAGAAACAACAAGAAGAAGCAAAGGAAUUUCGAAUUUAAAACUAGCAAUCAGAUACAUAUCAAAAACUACUUUGUUUUUUAAACUCACAUAAAGAGCAACUGAAAUGAAUAAAAACAAAAGAAAAUGCAUGAAAAAACAUUCCUUAUAAUUACUUCAAUUUCCACUAACCAUUAACCAAGUCGAGAUUUCUAUCACUCGAACAAAAAAUACCAAGAAAGGGCUAUAAUCAAAAGAAAAGAAAGGUGCAAAGUAACUAGGCGGACAUCGUGUGCAAAGUAACUAGGGGGACUUCGCAAUAUGUCCAUGGUACUAUUUGACUCCUGACAAUCAGCCAUUUCAGACCAUGCCACAUUGACAUAGAUGCCAUUGUCUGCUUCAGUCACAUAUCAAAGCAUCAGGACCACAGAUGUUCUUCUCCAGUUCCAGAUAAAUGCUAAUUCUGAAAAUAGUAAGAAUCAGACCUGAUGUUAAAGAACCAGAAGUAGAAAAACUGAGGUAGGCUUUCCUAUGCUGUAGUUAAAGACAGUUCGAAACAUUUAACAUGUCAUUUUCUGAAUGGAACUUCUGUGGGAUGAGUGAACAAAUUUCUGGAACAGAUAAAACACACAGAACUUGCUUAAAAGUGCUGCACUCAUGAUUCUGCAGUGGCUACUUCCAAUUCUUUUUCUUGAAACAUAUUUCAAGUGUGACUUGGGUACGAGGUCACAAGAAAAAUGUGCUGUCUGAAUCGCAGAGAGCUGUUAAUUGAGCAUUUGCAAUCUUGUAAUGCAUCUUUGUUAUCUUCAGGGCAUUCAUAUCUUAAAUCAGUUACUAAAUCUCCAAUCUCUUCAGUGAUUUCAUUGCAACCUUCAUUUAGCAUUUCCAUUCACCCAUCUUGUCAAUCUCAGAAUUCAUAGAGGAAGAACCAAUGAUCUUUUCUGGAAGAUCAUGAGCUGCAGGCUAUGUUUUAACCUCACAAACAUCAAGUGUAUCAACAGUAGGUCUUCAUGGACUCUAUUGCAGAAACCAAUAAGAAGGAUUCUAGAGGUUUAGCUGGUCUAUCAAACUAAGUCAAGACAUCCCCAGCUAUCUGUUUAACUUCUAUCUUUUUCUGUGAGUGCCAACUCCAGUUUUUCCAACUCUCUUCAGCCUGCAUGCAUAGCUUAAUUGCUAUACCGGUAAAUUCAUCACAGGAUUCCAUUUACUGCAUGUCAUUGUUAUUAUUUUAUGACAGCAGGUUUAGGGCUUAAAUUAAUGAGCUUAGAUUCAAUCGAAUCUCAAAUAAACCCUCAAGAUUCCACCUCAAUUAGGUCCUCAAAUUGGAUGGCUAGAUUCAGGGAUAACACUACCAUAAUUCAUUCAGAUGGAGGAGUAUACGCAAAGUUGAAACUGUACAAAUUGGAAAGAAUCAUAAGACCAAGAUUUCAAAGGAAAUAAUAAUAAUAAUUUAAACAGAUAUAUCCAGCAUUCCAGCAAAUGGAAUAUAUCCAAUAUUUCAGACAUUUGAUGGGCCAAAUUUGAAUUCCAUUAGAAAGACGGUGAAGAAAAUUAUAACUUAUCUUGAAGGCACUAAAAUUUCUAUGACAUGUGUGAACCCUUUUAAUUCCAGUAAAAUUUGAAGAAUAUAGUUCUCAAGCACAACUUUGAUGUUCUCAGAUACAUUAAGAAAUCAAAACCUACAUAACCAUUCUAACCUAAGCAGCAUUGGUGAUUCCUCAAGGCUCAGAGAAUUGCUUUUCCUUUCUUGGCAACUGUCUUAAGAGCAUUUCUCAUGUCCAGCCAACCAUCUCUGUAAAAUAUGAGUCCUUUUCAUCUUCUUAUUAUUUUGGCUGUCAGACCUUUCUCGUUAUGAAAGACAUUUAAUGAGACUUGGUAACAUAGGUUUUACAAAAAAAAAAAAAAAAAAAACUGUUAAACUCUAACAAAGCAAUACUUUGAGUACUUCCUUCAAUUUAAAUUGGUAGUGUAGACAGCAUAGAGCAAAACAAUAUCAUGUACAAAAAUCAUGCCAGUAUGGCUGUUCAUGCAAUUCCGAGGUGACUGAAUCGGUCUACAUCAAUAUCUGACAUUGAAAAACUCAGGCGCAAAUAUCUACGAGCAGGGUAACCUUUUCACAAGGAGCAAUAACAGAUUGGUGAAUGUGAUAAAUGAAGAGCUUUAUUCGCCAUGUUGAUUAGAGCCAGAGAAAAUAACAGGAAAAGAAGCACAGUUGAUAGGACAACAAUGAGGGAAAAAAAAAAAAAAGAAACAAUUUUCAUCUAAAGGUGCUAGACUUUAACAAAAACAAAAACCACGCAAGUCUUGAGUUCUAGAUUUUUGAAAUAUAACAGAUCAAGAACUAAUAACUUGUCACAGACAGACUAGGAAUUCAUUAUUGACAUUUCAUCAUGAAUGUUAGCAACCUAACAAUAGGCAAACGUUUCACAACUUGAAAGAUACCAGAACUCAAAAUCUGACCUUGUUAGAAGGGUCAUCCUUGUGAAGAGCAGAGAUUCUCAGGCGAUCAAUGUCAGGCUGUUGGCCGUAGUUAUUACGGAAGUCUUGAAGAGAGAGUCCAAUCUCCGAAUUGGGUACGAGAAAACCACGGUCCCUAAGCAUUUCCAGCACAGUUCGGCGUGACAAGUAGUACCUAUGAGACUCUAUGCUACCCUCAUCGAUAUAGCUACUCAAACACCUCGGGUAACUCUCCCCAUCUACAUCCAUUUCCAUUUUCCCACCGACAUCCAUAGCUUUUCUCACCGGGUUUUCAGCUAGGCAAGUUGUGCUCUUUUUUUCUUCUUCCUGAAUGCAAGAAAGCAUUAACCAUUAAACUCAGGGCAGUUCGACAAGGGCAAUUAUAAUAGGGAUUUCCACCUUAUCCUUAUUUCAAUUGUCAAUGAACCUCUUCGAAUUAACAGCUAAAUAAAGUAAACAUUUAACCAGAUAAAUAAUUACCAUUAGCAGAAGUCACACUAAACCCUCUUAGAUUUUUAUGCCAUUAGACCGUGUAUCAUCAAGAAUUAGAGUAAUUUUGUCGCAGGCACAAAUACCAUAAACAUAUUCAAGCAGAUUACACUCUCUUCCCAAAACUAAACUAAUGCAUUUCCAUACCAAAAACAGAUUAGAAACUAAACAAUCAACCAAUUAAGGGAUUGUAGCAACUAAUAUCUAACUUUCAAGAAACCAAAACAAAAAAAUGCUUUUAUCUUGCUGGAGAUAAAAUGAUACACAAAAAGGCAACACAUUGGAGAGAAAGAAGCAGAACGAAAGAUGUUGGGAGAAGGAGAAAGUGAGGGAGCUUGCCUGUGCCGGUGAUCUCUUGCAGUAAUGAGAAUUGAGCGUAGGGUUUAAGCCCUUGGCCUUAAAAGUUAAAACCAGAGACCGUGGUCGGAAAAUGGACAAAAGGUUAAAAAAAAAAAAAAAAAAAGAAUUUACCUAGCAUUUUGAGACUGUCACUAGGUACUACCGUACUAGCAUUAUAUACAUUGUGAUUUUGAUUUUUUUUUUUUUACUACUCUUACUAGCAUCGCAAUACUAGUUUGUUUGGAAUGAUUUGGAAAAAAAAUUCAAGUUUUGUUUUGUUUGUAAAAAUAAUACUGUAGUAUUUUUAUUGAUAAGGUGGGUGUGUGAUUAAAAAAAUUGAUUGAAAAGAUAAAAUGAUGAUUAAAAAUAUAUUUAUAAUACAGUAAUAAAAUUUUUUUAAUGAUAUUAACUAUGAAAGUGAAACAACAUGUUAUAACGAUGUGUUUAUAUAAUAAAAGACAUAUAUAAAUAUAAAAAAUAUUUCUAUAAAAUCUAAAAAUUAUCUGUGCCUAAACAUUUAGGAUAAGUGAGAUAAUAUUUCUUUUUUUCUUUUUGCAAAAGGAUGGAAUAAGGUUAAGUAUAGAGCUAGUGAGAUAAUAUUUCUUUUUUUUUUUGGGCAAAAGGAUGGAAUAAGGUUAAGUAUAGAGCUAUCAAUAGGGUUAGAUCAACAACAAUCAACUUGAAAUAAUUAAAAUCAAGCCUUACACUUCAUUAGGUUUGGUUGAGUUUAAACUUCAAAAUGAGCCCCAAUUAAAUUAAAUUGUGAGUUGACUUUAUACUUAAUGAGGCUCGAUUCGAUUAAAUGUCAACCCAACCAAUUAAGUACAUAAGUACUUAUUUUUUUAAUUCACUGUGAUGUAUAUUAUUUAAUAAUUAUACAUUAUAAUGUACAUAAUUUAUAUAAUAUAUAUAUAUUGAUUAAACAAAAUAAAUAUUAUGUAUACGCCAUGUAUAAAAUUAUAGAUUAGUUGUGAGCUUGUAUCGGACCCAAAUUAGGCCUGAAACUCUUGUAUUUUGAUGAACCAUGUAUGAGUUUCACACAACAAACUUGAAGCCCAAGUUCAAAAGCCCGAAAAUUAUAUUUUGGUCUGUGAGUUGAGUUUUAACUUUUCAAAAUCCGACUCAUAAGACUCGAUUGACACCUCUAAUUAGGUACGAUAGAGUUGAUUAUUUAAAAUUGUCUUUGCACCUUAUUUUUUUUAUCCUUUUUAGAAUAUGGCUAUAAUAUAACCUUUUAAAGAACAUUUAACGAAUUUUACCCUCAACUUUUACUUGGCCCCCUCCAAUUAUUUUUCCAGCGCAUACCCCACUUUUCAUUGAGGGACAAAUGUGUACCGAUUCAUUUUGUUAUUAUUAUUAUUUUUACAUACAUGUGCUUGGCUUUUGUUGACACAGAAAAAGUUGAUCACAAAAUAUAAUUUAGGCUUGUUGACAAAAAAAAAAAAAAAUGUCAGCAUAAGUAGCAAAUAAAUAUGAUACUAAUAAAGAUGCCUCCAUUCAAAUCCAACAACAAACAGACUUCAUUUUAAUUAAUUACAAUCAAAAUCUUGCAUAAAAAAAAAAGAGUCUUAUGUCAACAUUGUCCUUUUGUUGCUGAAAUGAUUAAUAAUUUACUAUUAUUGCCAUGUUUCUCCAAAAAAAGAAAUUUUGAAGUUUGAUUUAAUCCCUAUUUUCGUCCUCUAAAUUCAAAAAUAAGCCAUAUCAGCCCUUAUUAACAAUUUUGGUCAAGUAUAGCAUCAUGCAUAACCAUUUUCAAGCCAUAUAACCAAUUCUGAAAUCAGUCACCUUGCAAACAUGUAGAAAUGAACAUUUGAGAAAUUGCCACCAGUUGGGAAUGGGAAUUAUUUUUACUUCUCUGUAACAUAUACAGAAAAACUGGUUCAGGAAUGGUGGAGUGGUAAAGCAUGGAUUCUAAUCCCAUCAACAGAAGUAACCACUACAAUCAAAGGCCAGACAUCUGACCUUCUCCAUAUUGAUGGAGUAUUUAUCUGCAACAAGAAAUAGAAGAACAGACAAUCAAUGAUCAAAAAAAGUGGUAAAAAGAACUUCAUAUUUGACUUCCACACUGUUGCCCUAUAACCUGGACUGGGAUUUCUUGCAUGAUCUUCCUGUUAACUUGGAGCGCCUUGGCGACAAUGUCGCCAUCGAUACAUAGAUUUGAUCCGAAGACAGCAUCUCCAAUGGUUAUGAGACCUUGACUUCAAUGGCAAUUGCAUGAACUUUCCUACAUUAUGUUGGAAAUGAACAAGCGCAAGUGGAAAAACACAUUAAGAUGUGUAGCUCUGUGUUAAAAAAGCAUGUAACUAAUAAAUUUCAAAGACAUUUAGCUGUGGAAAGAGGCCCAAAACAUUGAGCUACAUAAGGCAUUUUGCACACUGCAGAUACCACUGAAUAGAUAUAUACAGAAUACAAGAGACAUUCAUAUUGACAGACGAGAGCAAACACAUAAUUAUGUAACUAAUCCCCUAGUGAUUUCACAAGCAGAUUUACAUUCAAGAUCUGCUCCUUUUGGAGUUGAUAAUCUCGAGCCAUUGCAUUGUUGUGUAGAUAUUUAUUAGUUGGAAAAAAAGUUUCAGGUGAGAUGUCUGACCGGUAAAUUGAGGUCCCUAUUCCUAAAACUCCCAAAGUCUAUCUUUGAAUCACAAACUUCAAGAUGACUCAAGGCAUGCAUAUACAACUAACUAGCUUCAAAGAAAAGGGGCAUCAUAAUAUCAGGUCAGGUCAGGAGGUUGCAGAUAGAAGCCAAGAUAUUCAGAAUUACAAUUUUCAUGGUGUUGAAGGUUAGCGGAAAUUUGCUGUGAAUCAUUUAAUAUUGCUUGAAGAAAGAUUACAGGGGCCAUACCAACCAGAGGCUUUUGAAGAAUGUACUUUUGGCGAUGAAUGAUAUUAUGUAAAUCAAGUUGAAGAUCAGAAUCAGCUCCUUUAAAAUAAGUGAUGUUGUUUCAUUUAAUGUAGAAUGAGACUUAAAGAAAGUUCAGUGGAGAAGCUUUUAGGGACCAAACUCCUAAUACAUAGUUAUAAGAAACUAGUUUUUCAUACCAAGAGAGGGGCUAGGUUUUUCUUACCUCACCAUGAAAGAAGAAUAGGGUAAUAUGAAGUUUCGACAUAUCUAACAAUUGUCAUAGGUUUUUCAGCCAAAGUAUCUGUAAGACACAUAAAAGAGAUAGAGAUUUGUUUAUCAUAACACCAAUGAGUUGCUCCUUUAUGUUGGAAUUCUUAAGAAGCCUAUGUUUGACUCGGUCACUUAAUUAAGCCAGCACUUCAUGGCUUCAAGAAGCAAGUCAAUAAUCUAAAGACGCGUCAAAUAUUAAGACAUUGCAUUGAUAAGUCAAAGAAGCAUGCCAAAUGAUUACAAAUAAUGCACCAAUUGGAUCACUUGAUAUGUUUAGAAACAAGCUAUAGAAAAUUUAAAGCACAGAAAGGUAGAUUAUUAAAUGAGUGGGACCAAAUCAGACAUUUUAUGUGAUAGACACAGUAAAAGUUCUUUUUAUUGAAAAUUCAUUACUUUGAACCAAAUCAAAACCUAAAUGCAGACUGUUAAGAGAAUAUAAGUAUUCUUGUAGAUAAUAAAUUAGUAAGGGUAUUCUUAUAAAUAGUUUGUUAGGUUUAUACUCCUAUAAAUACUAGUUGGUCACUCAUAAUACAGUGACUAGAUGUUUUCUUCCCAAGAUACCUGUUAACAUGGUAUCAGAGCAAAAGUCCUAGGGUUAGGGUUAAAUAUCUAGCAAAAGUUUUGACGCGAUACUGUUCAUCGUACACUGUUCACGCGGUACUGUUCAUCGCGCACUGUUCAUCGCGCACUGUUCACGCGGUACUAUUCACGCGCACUGUUCACGACGCACUGUUCAUCGCGAAUUUUGAUUGCUGUUUUGUUUGAAGUACUAUUCGCUAUGGUUGAAAGUUUUGCUAAUGGGGUUACCACUGAUCAAGUUGAAUCAAGUUCUUCAGCACAUGGGUCCCAGAAAACUGUUACUAUAUCCGAGGAAGAUUAUGUUAAAUUCUUACAGUACCAAAUUACAAAUCACGCAUCUCUUCCCUCUGCUUCUUUAGCACAAAAAGGUAAUGACUCAUGGAUUAUUGAUUCCGGAGCUACUAAUCAUAUGUCAGGUACCUCUAAAAUUUUUUCUAAUUUUCAAGAGUCUACUCCCUUUUCUAAUGUUACUUUAGCUGAUGGAUCUACCACUAAAGUUAAAGGACUAGACACUGUAGAAAUUAAUCCAUCACUUCCGCUGUCUUCUGUUCUUUACGUAUCCAAUUUGUCAUUUAAUCUAAUGUCUGUUAGUAAGCUCACUAAAUUUCUACAGUGUACAGUUACUUUUUCUCUUGAUUCUGUUGUCAUUCAGGAUUUGAAAACAAAGAGAACGAUUGGUGGAGGGCAUGAGCAUAAUGGUCUUUAUUUUCUCAAUUUCAAUGGUCCGAUAGCAUGUCCUGCUACUGUUUCUCCUCUUGAAAUUCACUGUCGUUUAGGUCAUCCGUCUUUACAAAAUUUGAAAAAGUUGGUUCCUACUUUGAAUCAAUUAUCUUCGUUAGAAUGUAAGUCUUGUCAGUUAGGAAAGCAUCAUCGUGUUUCUUUUGCUCCUAGAGUCAAUAAACGGGUUUCUGAACCCUUUUUGUUAGUUCAUUCUGAUGUUUGGGAUUCUAGUCGAGUCACUUCAAAGUUAGGUUUUAAAUAUUUUGUAGUUUUUGUUGAUGAUUUUUUCAGAGUUACAUGGCUUUAUUUAAUGAAAGAUCGUUCAGAAUUAUAUUCUAUUUUUUGUGCAUUUGUUACAGAAAUAAAGAAUCAAUUUGGUGUGCCUGUACGUAUACUUCGCAAUGAUAAUGCGAAAGAGUAUUUUUUCACUCCUUUUAAUACCUUUAUGACUAAGUCUGGUAUUAUUCAUCGGUCCUCUUAUCCUCACACUCCACAACAGAAUGGAGUUGCUGAAAGAAAAAUUGGACAUUUAAUCGAAAUUGCUCGAGCACUGUUGUUGCACAUGAAUGUACCCAAACAAUUUUGGAGUGAUGCAGUUCUAACUGCAUGUUAUUUAAUUAAUCGCAUGCCAUCUAAUAUUCUUGGAGGUCAAUUACCUCACUCCAUUUUUUUUCCUCAUGAACCUGUGUUUAAAUUGCCUCCUCAUAUUUUUGGAUGUGUGUGUUCAUCAGCUUGCUCCCGGGGUGGAUAAAUUAGAUUCUCGUGCUAUUAAGUGUAUUUUCUUAGGUUAUGCACGAGCGCAAAAAGGGUAUAGAUGUUACAAUCCAGUUUUAAAUCGAUUUUUUACUUGUGCUGAUGUUACUUUCUUUGAAUCCACUCCGUAUUUUAUCAAACAAAGUAUGUCUUGUGAAUUAGACCAGUGUCCCUCUUUUUUCUCUCCUGUUUUACCAGUCCCUUCCCCUUUAUUACUUGAGUUGUCUAGUCCACUAGAUUCCAUAGCUCGAUUAUCUCGUCCUCAUUUUCAAGUUUACUCUCGUCGUUCCAUGGUUGAGAAAGUUCCUGAUAUGCCACGCACUUCACCAAUUAACUCUCAAUCUUCAAAUUCAUGUAUGACGCCCUCCUCUGAGUUAGAUCUUCCUAUUGCUUUACGCAAAGGUAAGAGACAUUGUACUUCCCAUCCUAUUUCUAAUUUUAUUUCUUAUUCUCGUCUCUCUAUGUCAUAUUCUUCUUUUGUUGCUUCUCUUGAUUCUAUCUCCAUUCCUAAGUCUAUUACAUAUGCUCUUAAUCAUCCUGAUUGGAGAUUAGCUAUGCAAGAAGAGAUGUCUGCUUUGGAACAAAAUGGUACUUGGGAUCUUGUCCCUCGUCCUUCAGGUAAGCCUGUUGUUGGUUGUAAAUGGGUGUACACUAUAAAAGUGCAGCCUAAUAGUUCUAUUGAUAGAUUGAAGGCUCGGCUGGUAGCUAGAGGAUUUACUCAGGUGUAUGGAGUAGACUACUUAGAAACAUUUUCUCCUGUUGCAAAGAUUACCUCUGUUCGUCUUCUUAUCUCUUUGGUAGCAACUUAUAAUUGGCCAUUGCAUCAGUUAGAUGUGAAAAAUGCAUUUCUGCAUGGAGAUUUGGAAGAAGAGGUAUAUAUGGAACAACCUCCUGGAUUUGUUGUUCAGGGGGAGAAUCCGCGGUUGGUUUGUCGUUUGAAAAAAUCCUUAUAUGGAUUGAAACAGUCUCCGAGGGCUUGGUUUGGCCGGUUUAGUAGUGUUGUCAUGGAGUUCGGUCUGACAAGAUGUGGAGUAGAUCACUCUGUAUUUUAUCGACAUUCUAAUGCUGGUAAAAUUUUAUUAGUUGUUUAUGUGGAUGACAUUGUGAUUACAGGUGAUGAUGUUGUGGGGAUCCAGAAACUUAAAUCCAAUCUGCAGGCAAACUUUCAGACAAAGGAUUUAGGUCAUCUACAGUAUUUUUUGGGUAUUGAGGUAGUUCGGUCUAAAUAUGGAUUUAUUUAUGUCAAAGAAAAUAUGUACUCGAUAUGUUGAGUGAGGUUGGGAUGUUAGGUUGCCGACCUGUGGAUACUCCUAUGAAUUCCAAUGUGAAAUUAGCAGGAGAUCAAAGUGCAUUAUUUGAUGAUCCUAAGCAAUAUUGAAAAUUUGUGGGUAAAUUAAAUUAUCUCACUGUAACGAGACCUGACAUUUCGUUUGCAGUGAGUGUUGUGAGUCAAUUUCUUGAUACCCCUCGUACUAGUCAUUAGGAUGUUGUUAUACAGAUUCUCAGGUAUCUUAAGAGUGCUCCUGAAAAAGGGUUGCUGUAUCAAAAUCAUGGACACACUGAUAUUGAAGGAUGUAGUGAUGCAGAUUGGGCUGGUUCUGCUUCAGAUCGAAGAUCGACUACAGGAUAUUGUGUGUUUGUUGGUAGUAAUUUAGUGUCGUGGAAGAGUAAGAAGCAAACAGUUGUAUCCAGAUCAAGUGCAGAAUCUGAAUACCGCGCUAUGGCUCACACUGUGUGUGAGUUGGUUUGGUUGAAAAGCAUGUUACUGGAACUUGGGUUUGAGCAUAAACAGCCUAUGAAUUUAGUGUGUCAUAAUCAGGCGGCUGUUCAUAUUGCGUCUAAUCCAGUGUUUCAUCAAAGGACAAAACAUAUUGAAGUUGAUUGUCAUUUCAUUCGAGAGAAAUUACUUGACGGGAUCAUCAAGACAUCUCAUGUACCGUCUGUAGAUCAAUUGGCUGAUGUGUUUACCAAGAGUUUAGGGGGCUCUAGGGUGAAAUACAUUUGUAACAAGUUGGGUGCUUAUGAUAUAUAUGCUCCAACUUGAGGGGGAGUGUUAAGAGAAUAUAAGUAUUCUUGUAGAUAAUAAAUUAGUAAGGGUAUUCUUGUAAAUAAUUUGUUAGGUUUGUACUCCUAUAAAUACUAGUUGGUCACUCAUAAUACAGUGACUAGAUGUUUUCCUCCCAAAAUACCUGUUAACACAGACGUUUUACUGCUUAUUUGUUGACUAAUUUAAAAAGUUGCUGAUUUACUAACCAAAAGAGAAUAUGCAAAGAUUUUUCUAAGAGCUAUUUAUCAAUAAAAAUACAGAGUUCUUAAUGAUAAACUGCAACAGAGAUGUGGACAUUUCUCUAAACGACUGUUUAUAACCAAAAAGGCAAGCCUGCCUGACAAGUAAAUUUUUCUGUAGCUAAGAAUAUAGCGAAGCAUUUUCACCUGGAAUGCACUGCAUCUUCAUCACUCAAGCCUCCUCCUUUUACACCUUCCCAAGGCACCAUGAUAUAAUCAUUGUGCUGCCCCAAUAACAGUUGGCCAUUUUUCUCCUCAAAGCCAAGCUACCAGGGUGCCAUCUCGACUCCAAAACAAACUUCUUGCCCCAAAAUCCCCAGCUUAACCAUCAUCCUGCAACUUCCACCUUUUAAAGGUAAACCAGCCAACGCAAACAUAAGAUUCAACAACUCUAGUUGGCCACCCCUGCCUUGCUCCUUGACAAAAUACAGAACAGCACAAGCUCCGCCUAUGCAUAUUGCCAACCACAUCUUCUCCCAAUCUGAGUACACAGCUAAACCCCAUGCAACUGAUAAUGUCUCCUCCAAUGCAAUCUAACAACCAGCACCAUGCCAAUAUCCCAUCCCUAUAUCUUAGCAUAAGCAUGGUAUUGCAACUUAAAUGAAUUUCUUUGUGAAUACAUGGUGUUGCAAUAUGAAUGAGUGUAAAGCAACUGUUAUGUGUGCACUUAUGUUUCUUCUAUUGCUUUAUGACAUUUUACUUGUAAGAUGGGCUGCAUCAGCUUUCAAUAGAAAAGGAUUUAUGUGAGACAAAAAAAAUCCAAGAGGAAGGAAACCCAGGUCUAAGAUGUCCAGAGCAGUUACUAUAACUACGCAAUACCAUACCUAAAGAACCAACGUUGGAAGUUCCAGAUUACCAGCUGUUCAAGCUCGUGCAUGAACAAUAAAUCUAGUGGUGAGACAACCCUAUACUGCCUUGGAGAAGCUGACUGUUGGUUUUGCUUGAUUUUCCCGAGUGUAUAAGACAAUAAAUUCGCUAUCCAGUGGUUACUGAUUAGGGGCAUCUUUGGAAGAAUGAUCAAUUGUUAUCUUAUCUAGGCUAUCUUUUCAGUCUGGAAAAUCAUAAAAAUGACUGAUAACACCAGAUUGAAAAAUGGAGGAAAUGAUUCACUUGAAAGACCAGAGGGUAAUGUGAGCAUGGAACACAGUUGAAGGGGGGACUUUUAGGAAGUUACCCCUUCUGUUUGUAUGCGCUUUUGAUCUGUCAAAUUUCAUGAUAAGGUGGCUAAUGCACCAAUUUUUUUACCAACUUAAAGGUUUUUGGCCUUUUAAUUUGUUUAAUUUACGUCCAGUUCGUAUAUAUAUAUAUAUAUGGCAUCAAUAAAAUGCAUUUUACAAUAUGGUGAGGAACAAUUAGAAAAAAAAAAAAAAAAAAGCUAGAGAAAAAAGGAAAUUUAGAGCAGAUCUCAAACAGAGUAGCCAUGGACAAAGACCGGAGUCUUGCAAAGAAGAGUUGCAGUGGCUACACUCAGUGCAGCCAGAUGAACGUGUUGGUGAGAUUUUGGGUUUCAUAAUGAUGUUAGUGAGGUGUUAUACAAUGCAUAUUCAGCCAUGUUUUUUUUAUAAGAAGUCAUAUAUUCCAAAAGCUUUGGGAGCUAAAAGGGAAAAAUACGAUAAAUCUAACAGACAUGACACUUAAUUGAAGUAAAAUUUACAAAAAUUUCUUGGUUGUACAUGAGCAAUGAGUAAUGAAAAGCAAAGAUGCGUAUAGGAGUAACUUGGAGGCCAAUAUUGACUCAAAACAUUCAUAGAUUGAAAAACGUAAACAGGAAAAGGUAAGAGAACUAACCUGGAAAUCUCAACUUCCAAAGGUAAAAAUUCACAGCUCAUUUCAUUUCAGCCAACUCAAAAGAUUUCAAGUAUCAGGGAUGCAAUCAUACCAAGGACCUUUAGCUUUUACCACAUUAGGGCAAAGGAAAAGGACAACGAUCUGAAUGCAAGCUUUCAAAGAACUAAUUUAAUUUCAUUAUUGAUGACAAAUAAACAAUUUUUCACAUAAUAGCUGAUGUCAGGAGAAGUGAGGAAGAGUAAGCUAAAUAAAAAACAAUCAACGAAGUUUACGAACAUAUUAAAGAAUUUCUAAAAAUUGGAAUGCCUCAUAGAUUAUGAAAAUAUUCAAGAAUUACUAUGCAUGUCAAACAAGGAUUAAGUACCUAAAAAAAGGCAUCAAGAGGCAAAUGAUACAGAAAAAAGACAGGCCAAGAACAAAAUUUGGCAACCAACAUCUGUAAAAAGUGCUUGAAGCAAACCAGCCAACAUAUGUGAGAAGGCCUUCACUAUAAGUUGGUAAGUUUGACACCAUGCAACAGACAACAAAGAAAAAUUUUACUCAUUGUCUACCUAAUCAUGACACAAGGAUGAAGGAAUAAAGAAUGGGGCAGCACCAACAGCAGCCUGCUUUGCUCAUUAAGCUUUUGAUGAAAGCACAGUCACUGGUCAAAUUUUGAGAAAAGGGGAAUAAGAUUCAUGUAAAUGCUGUAUGCCAUGCCCAAGUGUAGGUAUAGCCUAGCUUGUUUAAACUCCUCACAGAACAGAAAAGUUGAAACUUGAGAAGUAAAGCAUAUAUGCAACAGGAUAGAAUGUAGAACAGACAGACAGUAAUGACAACAUUCUGCAUCAGUGGUAAUUGAUUUGCGUUAUGUUCCAUGCACAAUUUGACAUUCAUUGACCCAAAAGGAUAUUAGACUUACAAAUAUGUGAAACCUGUAAAAGAUGUUGAACAAAAGCACGUCUUUGGUAAAGAGAAUAAAGCCAAAAAAGAAAUGCAAGGAGUUUACCUUCUUGCGCAAGGUAUUCAACUCUAUGUGUGUGGAAAAUGAAUCUAACCAUUUACAGGCUCUUAACAAUGGCCAAUUAGAAGAAAAAAUCAAAAUCUUAAACUACACCAUAGUCCAAUUAUUCCUCAAAAGAUUUCCAGGCAAACCUCUGAGAACCGAGAAACUUUGCCUUCAGAAACUCACGCAUUCUUGCUUCUGCCAGUGCUGUCAGCUUGGUAAAUCUUUCAACCAGUAGAUGUUUUAAUAUAUACUCAACAAAUUUAUUACUGCAGAUCAAAAUUGUAAGCAAUCUGUACCAAGAUUUGUGCAUCCCUUGGUGAGAAUGAGGAUGAAAUUUGACCUUUCAAAUUGCAUUGUGGUAUUCUGAUGUUUGUUAUGACUUGGAGGAUAUAGGAGUUAAAGUGACUCAUAUCCUGUGAAAUUCAUUUAACAGCUCAGUCUAAACCAAAUGUCAUUUGAAAUUGCAGCAUGAUACCAAUGCUCAUUUGCUUGCUAAUUUCUCCAACUAAACUCAUUCCGCAUGUCAGAGAACAUUUUCAAGCAACAUUAACCUUCUCAAUAAACCAAAAAAGAGAGAAAAGAGAAGCGAACAAGGUUGUGUCUUUAUUUAAUAAAUAACACAGUUCACAGAGGCAAUGAACAAGAAUACGCAACAGCUAAACAAUAUAGACAGCUAAAAAAGAACAAUUCUAGAACAAAUCCUCCAAUGACAGAUAUACAUACAAUUCAUUAGCAGGACAAUUGUCUAAAUGACCUCAUAACAAACAGGCAACAUCGGCCAUAUGUAGCAUUCAGGGACAGCAGCUGGGGCACCUAACCAACCCGUUCUCAUUACAAUCAAAACACCUUCUCAAUUUUCCUUCCUCCUCUUCAAAGAU
rnacentral:lncRNA from 1 species